UUUGGAUCACGUGAUCAUUUAGAUGACUAGAGGGAUGUCUAUCUAAGUGGGAGUUCUUAAGUAAUAUGAUUAAUUGAACCUUAAUUUAUCAUGAACUUAGUCCUGAUAGUAUUUGCAUAUCUAUGUUGUAGAUCAAUAGCUUGCAUAUAGCUCCCCUGUUUUAUUUUUUGAUAUGUUCCUAGAGAAAACUAAGUUGAAAGAUGAUAGUAGCAAUGAUGCGGACUAGGUCUGUGAUCUGAGGAUUAUCCUCAUUGCUGCAUAGAAGAAUUAUGUCCUUGAUGCACCGCUAGGUGACAGACCUAUUGCAGGAGUAUAUGCAAACGUUAUGAACAUUUGGCAAGCUCGAUAUGAUGACUACUUGAUAGUUUAGUGCACCAUGCUUUACGGCUUAAAACCGGGACUUCAAAAAUGUUUUGAACGUCAUGGAGCAUAUAAUAUGUUCCAAGAGUUGAAAUUAGUAUUUCAGACUCAUGCCCGUGUUGAGUGUUGGGGAACGUAGUAUUUCAAAAUUUUCCUACGAUCAUGCAAGAUCUAUCUAGGAGAAGCAUAGCAAUGAGCGGGGAGAGUGUGUCCACGUACCCUCGUAGAUCGAAAGCGGAAGCAUUUUAUCGACGCGGUUGAUGUACUCAUACGUCUUCACGAUCCGACCGAUCCUAGCACCAAACGUACGACACAUCCGUGUUCAGCACACAUUCAGCUCGAUGACGUCCCUCGUACUCUUGAUCCAGUUGAGGCCGAGGGACAGUUUCGUCAGCACGACGGCAUGGCGAUGGUGAUGAUGAAGUUACCGGCGCAGGGCUUCGCCUAAGCACUACGACGAUAUGACCGAGGUGUGUAACUGUGGAGGGGGCACCGCACACGGCUAAGAGAUUGUCUGUUGUGCUUUGUGGUGCCCCCUUGGCCACGUAUAUAAAGGAGGGAGGAGGAGGAGGCCGGCCUAGGAGGGGUGCGCCUAUAGGGGGAGUCCAACUAGGAUUCCCAAUCGUAGUUGGAGUCCCCUUCCUUUUCCAAGAGGGGAGAGAGGGAAGGAGUAGGAGAGGGAGAAGGAAAGAGAGGGGGGCGUCGCCCCCUCCCUAGUCCAAUUCGGACUUGCCAUGAGGGGGGGGGGCGUGGCCACCCUUGAGGCCCUCUCUCAUUUCCCGUAUGGCCCAUUAAGGCCCACUACUUCCCCCGGCGAAUUCCCGUAACUCUCUGGUACUCCGAAAAAUACCCGAAUCACUCGGAACCUUUCCGAUGUCCGAAUAUAGCCUUCCAAUAUAUCGAUCUUUACCUCUCGACCAUUUCGAGACUCCUCGUCAUGUCCGUGAUCUCAUCCGGGACUCCGAACAAACUUAGGUCAUCAAAUCACAUAACUCAUAAUACAAAUCGUCAUCGAACGUUAAGCGUGCGGACCCUACGGGUUCGAGAACUAUGUAGACAUGUCCGAGAUACAUCUCCGGUCAAUAACCAAUAGCAGAACCUGGAUGCUCAUAUUGGCUCCUACAUAUUCUACGAAGCUCUUUAUCGGUCAAACCGCAUAACAGGAUACGUUGUUCCCUUUGUCAUCGGUAUGUUACUUGCCCGAGAUUCGAUCGUCGGUAUCAUCAUACCUAAUUCAAUCUCAUUACCGGCAAGUCUCUUUACUCAUUCCGUAAUGCAUCAUCCCGCAACUAACUCAUUAGUCACAUUGCUUGCAAGGCUUAUAGUGAUGUGCAUUACCGAGAGGGCCCAGAGAUACCUCUCCGAAACUCGGAGUGACAAAUCCUAAUCUUGAUCUACGUCAACCCAACAAACACCUGCGGAUACACCUGUAGAGAAUCUUUAUAAUCACCCCGUUACGUUGUGACGUUUGAUAGCACACAAGGUGUUUCUCCGGUAUUCGGGAGUUGCAUAAUCUCAUAGUCAGAGGAACAUGUAUAAGUCAUGAAGAAAGCAGUAGCAAUAAAACUAAACAAUCAUUUAUGGCAAGCUAACGGAUGGGUCUUGUCCAUCACAUCAUUCUCCUAAUGAUAUGAUCCCGUUCAUUAAAUGACAACACAUGUCUAUUGUCGGAGUAAAUGGCCACGGGUAGCCCAACCGACUACCCCUGGUUCUUCAGAAAAAUUAUCAGGCCUUUGGGCCUUCAAGCACUCCAAGCAUUUGGGCCGCCUUCCCUGGCCGGCUACCUCUGAAGCCGACUCCCGGAAGGCGACCCAGCCUCGAGCAACCUCUCCCCAGGACGACUACGGGGUGGCCGACUCCAAGAAGCCGGCCAAGAAGGACGCCGGCUCCUAGCAGCCGGCCGAGACCACAACCACCAAAGCUGUUCCCACAUAACGGCGACACGACGGGGUGUGGCCACAAUGCGGCCCACUACCCCCGAAGCCCGAGGCAGGCAUGGCUACAGGAGGCCGUACGGGACUGUCGUCUCCCGCGCGGCUCGGCACUGUAGCCAUGCUAGCCUCGACGUCAUCCACGACCAACUCCUGUACGGCCCAAGGACUGCGGGCCCCUUCAGCCAGAGAGAGGCGUGAAGGCGGCCCGGCCUUUCCCAGUCGGCCAAGAGCAUAGCCGGCCUCCAGAAGCCGGCUACUCCCUUCCUCGAAGCAGGAGCCCCAUUAAGGAGACAAGACGAGGUAAGGCUACAGUUAUAGCCCCCGAGGCUGCCCACUGUAGCCACGCUUACCUCGACAAAGCCCUCGUCAUCACAGGCGAGGCUACAGUAAGCAGCCGCCGACAAGACCCUAGGCGGUGGGGCCGGCCUGUCGACCAAGUAGCCGGCAGCCGGUGGGACCCACCAGCCGGCGGGACCCAGCAGCCGGCGAGCGUAGACACUGACGGCUGGGACCAGCUCCCAGUCGGGUUACCAUUGUACCCCCGGGGGGUAGGCCUAUAUAAACCCACCGGAGCAUCCAUGCAAAGGGUUCUCUUCUAAGCAUAGCUGGCCUCUGAGCAUAGAGUUGCCUCCUAAGCAUAGCACACACACCAUAGAUAGAGAGAAGCAAGAGCUAGUCUUGUUCUUCUUCUCCCUUGAUCUCAACAGCUCUAGGAGCGAUUGUAGCUACCUUUCAUCGAUCUAGUGAUCAUGCGGAGACCCCGCAGAGCAGGACUAGGGGUGUUAUCUCCUCGGAGAGCCCCGAACCUGGGUAAGAUCCGCCGGCGUGCAUGUCUUCGCCUCAUCCCGAUUCCAGGCACCGGCGACGUUUUAUUGGCUCCCACAAUGAUAAGCCAUCCCUUGGCAUAUGUUGCACCAACCACCCGAAAUUUGGCGCCCACCGUGGGGCCAGGUGCACCGUCGUCCGGAGACCUGUUCUGGACGGGAACCCUCUUCCUCCCCCGCGAGCGCAGCCAGCCUCCUGCGCCCGAUGGCGUUUGCCUUGACGCGCUGCAAGGCGUCGACGACGCCUGCGCAGCGAGCUACCUCGCCGACCUGCUCGGCGAGACUCGCAUCUCCGACGAGCCUGCGUCCGACGCAGGCACCGACUACCCCGAGAGCCGCCUCGUCAGCCUCCUCGACCAGCUUCACGUCUCCAGCGAGCCUGCUGCAGAUGUGGAGUCGGUCGGCUGCACCGACCCGAUGCUCGUCGACUCCGACACCGCAUCGCUUGACGCCUACCCCUCCGACGUGGUGGUCUUCGACGACCCCCUCCCUCGAGCUGACAGCGGCAGCAGCGCUGUCACCGAAGUGCUGGUCAUCAGCCACGUCGCCAACUCGGGCGAGAACGCCCACGACGCCCUGCAAGCGGCAAUGCACGACCUCUCCGUCCCCAUCCCGGCCGAUGCCGACGCCGAGACCCUGGAGGCACGCCGCCUUGCCCUCAUCGCGGAGGGCCAGAAAAUAGCCUCCAUGAGACGCCUCACCGAGGCCCACCAGCGCGAAGUCGACCGCGCUGCCUUCGGCACGCCGCCGCCUAGCGGCCCGAGCCGAGCCGGCUUCGUCCAGAAGCGCGGCGCGGCCGUUGCCAGCAUGCUGGGCACAUAUCGCCCCGUCUAUGCCACCCUGCUCGAGAAUCUGCGAGCCGAUCAGGCGGCUGCAGAGGAGCUCAAUGGGCUGGGAGCCGACGAGCUCCCCUACAUGACAAGACGGAUCCAGCAGCUGAUCGACGCGGCUGCAGAAAGGCACGAAGCCGGCGCCCGUGCUGAUAGUCAUCCCCCGCGCCGGGAGCACGCCGCGACGUCCCGCUCGCCGACUGCGAGCGGCGCGUGCCAGAAGAAAGACAAGGAGCUGGUUGCCAGCCGCAGCCGGACUCGCAUCACCAUCGAGCGCGACGCGGAGGGCCGCCCUCGAGCAGUAGAGCACCAAGGAAAUCUGCCUCCUCCCCCGCCUCGAAUAGAAAGACGCCUCACUCCGCCGCCUGUCACACAUCCGACUCUUGGCGACCGACUCGGCCGCCGAGAAGGAGUCGGCGAGAACGACGCCCGCCACAGGAUCGACUGCCUUGCUCGAUCCUUGGCGUUAGAAGAAGAAGACGAUGUCGGUCCGCCAUGCUUUGGCCCCCGCAUCCACGACGAGCCCUUCCCUAAAGGGUUCUCGCUCCCCAGAGACACGCCCAAGUACAACGGCUCGGUGAAGCCGGAAGAUUGGCUCAUCGACUACUCCACAACCAUCAGCAUCGCCAACGGCAAUCGGCGCGUCGCCGUGAAGUACGUCCCCCUGAUGCUGCAAGGCACGGCGCGCACAUGGCUCAACAGCCUCAAACCCUACAGCAUCAACAGUUGGCUGGACUUCACCGAAGUCUUCGUCCGCAACUUCACCAGCACCUACAAGCGGCCUCCCAAGCCUCGCCAGCUCUCCCUCUGCGUCCAGGGGCCCAACGAGUCGACCCGCGACUACCUCACGCGAUGGGCCGAGCUCUGCAACUCCUGCGAGGGGGUGCACGAGGUCCAGGCCAUCGAGUACUUCACCGCCGGGUGCCGAGAGGGCACCCUCCUCAAGCACCGACUCCUCUGCGACGAGCCGGCUACCCUCGACGAGUUACUAGUCAUCGCCGACAAGUACGCCACCGCCGACUCCUCAAUGAAGACCGAGCUGCGAGUAGACGCCUCGGGGAAAGUAAUUGCUCCGGCUCCCAAGACGCCGGCUGGCGACCCUAAUCGGCGCCCCUACCAGAACGACCACAAGCGCAAAGGCCCCAUGCCGACUUCCUCCAGUCGGCAGGUGGCCAUAGUUGAAGACGAGCAGCCCGAAGAGCGGCCCGCUCCCAAGAAGAAGGGUGGCCGGCUGCCCUGGCAGCCGUCUUUCUCCUACGAGCAAGCACUCGACGCCCCUUGCAAGUUCCACAGCGGCGCGAAGCCGUCCAACCACACAACCCGGAAAUGCCACUGGCUCACCCGCAUCACCAAGGGUGAGGGAAUGUUGCCGCCUCCGCCUCCCGGCCCGCCGCCUCCAGCCCCCCAGCAGCCGGCGGCUCGGCCGGCAGUCGGCGCCAUCCAAGACGAAUUUCCCGAAGAGCACACCGCCUACGUCGUCUUCACCAGUCAAGCCGACGACAAGCGCAGUCGGCACCGGCAGCACCAAGAAGUGAACGCAGUCGCCUCUAGCACCGUCGAGUUCAUGCACUGGUCAGAAAAGCCGAUCAGCUGGAGCCAAGCCGACCACCCAGAGGUGAUGCCGUCGCCUGGCUCCUAUGCAAUGGUCUUGGACGUCACCCUCGCGACGGAGAGGCGAGCUGCCAGAUUUUCCCGCGUCCUGAUAGACGGCGGAAGCAGUAUCAACAUACUGUACCGCGAUACCAUGGAGAAGCUGAACAUCAAAGCGAAGCAACUCAUGCCGAGCCGCACCGUCUUCCAUGGUAUCGUACCUGGCCUAUCUUGCUCUCCAGUCGGCAAGAUCAAAAUGGAUGUUCUCUUCGGAGACAAAGAUCAUUUUCGCCGGGAAGCAAUAUGGUUCGAGGUAGUGGAUUUGGAGAGCCCCUAUCAUGCACUGCUUGGCCGACCUGCUUUGGCCAAGUUCAUGGCUGUGCCCCACUACGCCUACCUGAAGAUGAAGAUGCCGAGCUCGAAGGGGAUCAUCACGGUAGCCGGCGACUACAAGAAGUCCAUCGAGUGCGCCAUGGCCAGUAGACGGCUGGCCGAGUCCCUCGUGGUGGCAGAAGAGAAGAAGAUGUUGGAACGGGUUGUGGCCAUGGCCGGCAAGCAACCGGCCUUGUCCCCUAACCCCAAGGAUUGUGAUGCGCAGGGCUCCUUUCAGCCUGCCAAAGAGACAAAGAAGAUACCUCUGGACCCGGAGAACCCGGAGAGGUUCGCUGUGAUUGGGGCGAACUUGGACAGUAAAUAGGAAGGCGAGCUCGUCGACUUCCUCCGUGAGAAUCGAGACAUCUUUGCAUGGUCCCCAAAGGACAUGCCGGGUGUUCCGAAGGAUUUCGCCGAGCACAAAUUACAUGUCCGAGCUGAUGCGAAGCCGGUCAAGCAACCCCUCCGCCGACUGUCCGUAGAGAAGCGAAGAAUUGUGGGAGAAGAGAUAGCCCGGCUCCUUGCCGCCGGCUUUAUCAUGGAAGUGUUCUUUCCAGAGUGGCUUGCCAACCCAGUUCUGGUUCUGAAGAAGAAUAACAAGUGGCGUAUGUGUAUAGACUACACUAGUCUGAACAAGGCCUGCCCAAAGGAUCCGUUUGCUCUGCCGCGGAUUGACCAAGUGAUAGACUCCACAGCCGGAUGCGAGCUGUUAAGUUUUAUGGAUGCAUACUCAGGGUAUCAUCAGAUCAAGUUGGACCCAGCUGACCGCCUGAAGACUGCCUUCAUCGCACCCUUUGGAGCUUUCUGCUACCUGACAAUGACAUUCGGCUUGAGAAAUGCCGGUGCCACUUUUCAGCGUUGCAUGCAGAAAUGUCUCUUGAAACAACUCGGCAGAAAUGCCCACGUCUACGUAGACGACAUUGUGGUGAAGACAGAGAAGCGCGGUACCUUGCUGGAAGACCUGAGAGAAACAUUUGCCAACUUGCGCCGAUUCCAAAUCAAGCUCAACCCCGAGAAGUGCGUGUUCGGAGUGCCAGCCGGCCAGCUGCUAGGCUUCCUGGUCUCCGAACGCGGCAUUGAGUGCAACCCCGUCAAGAUCAAGGCCAUCGAGAGGAUGGAGAUUCCCACCAAGCUGCGAGAUGUGCAGAAGUUCACUGGCUGCUUAGCCUCCCUGAACCGUUUUAUCAGCCGACUAGGAGAGAAGGCUCUCCCCCUGUACCGACUCAUGAAGAAGUCCACUCACUUCGAGUGGAAUGAUCAAGCCGACCAAGCCUUCCAUGAGUUGAAGAAAAUGUUGACCACUCCGCCUGUCCUGGCUGCGCCGACUGAGAAGGAGCCCAUGCUCCUCUACAUCGCCGCGACAAGCCGAGUCGUCAGCACUGUUGUUGUGGUCCAGCGCCCGGAGGAAGGCCGAACCCAGCUAGUCCAGAGGCCGGUCUACUAUCUCAGCGAAGUACUAUCCAGCUCAAAGCAAAACUACCCGCACUACCAGAAGAUGUGCUAUGGGGUGUACUUCGCUGCCAAGAAAUUGAAGCCCUACUUCCAAGAGCACCCCAUCACGGUCGUGUGCACUGCCCCGCUUGCCGAGAUCAUAGGCAGCCGGGAUGCAUCCGGCCGGGUGGCCAAAUGGGCCAUUGCCUUGGUGCCCUACACGAUUUUCUAUCAACCCCGCACCGCCAUCAAGUCGCAAGCAUUGGCCGACUUCCUCGUCGACUGGGCCGAGACCCAGUACUUACCGCCGGCUCCCGACUCUACCCAUUGGCGGAUGCACUUUGACGGGUCCAAGAUGUGCACCGGCUUGGGAGCCGGCAUCGUCCUCACCUCUCCCAAAGGCGACAAGCUCAAGUACACGCUGCAGAUCCACUUCGCCACCUCCAACAACGUCGCCGAGUACGAGGCGCUCGUACACGGGCUCCGGCUAGCCAAAGAACUCGGCAUACGCCGGAUCCUGUGCUACGGCGACUCAGACUUGGAGGUCCAGCAAUCAUCUGGCGACUGGGACGCCAAGGACGCGAACAUGGCAAGCUAUCGUUUCCUCGUCCAGCAGAUAAGCGGAUACUUCGAAGGGUGCGAGUUCCUUCACGUGCCAAGGGCCGACAAUGACCAAGCAGAUGCCCUAGCACGGAUCGGCUCCACCCGACAAGCCAUACCAACUGGCGUCUCCCUCCAGCGCCUCCUCAAGCCGUCCAUCAAGCCGUCUCCAGAGUCGGAUUCCAUCUUCGUACCGCCUGCGCCAGAUACAGCCGGAUCCGACUGGAGAAAUCCCGCAGGCGGCACGGGGACUUCGACGACUGGCCCGGGGACUGCCAUAGUGGCACCCGGCCCGGGGACUUCAGAACCCGGCCCGGGGACUGCAGCAGUCGGCCCGGGGACUGCAACGACACCAGAAGCGCUGGCCGACUCCAAUUCAACGCCCAACCCACCCACCCGAGUCAUGGUGGCCACAUUAACAGAAGAAGAAGUCACAGCUCCCUCAUGGGCCCAGCCCAUCCUCAAGUUCCUAGUCAGCAGAGAGCUGCCGGCUGAUGAGAUCUCAGCAAGACUAGUGCAACGACGAGCCGCAGCAUACACAAUAAUCAACAGAGAGCUUGUGAAGCGCAGCGUCACUGGAGUCUUCCAGCGUUGUGUCGAGCCAGAAAAAGGAGUGGCAAUCCUCAAAGACAUCCACCAAGGCGAAUGCGGCCACCACGCAGCCUCAAGAUCCCUUGUGGCCAAGGCUUUCCGCCAUGGUUUCUUCUGGCCGACUGCCUUGGAGGAUGCUAAAGAAAUAGUCAAGAGCUGCAGAGGAUGUCAAGUUUUUAGUUCCAAGCAACACCUGCCGGCUUCUGCACUCAAGACCAUUCCCCUCACCUGGCCUUUUGCCGUCUGGGGACUGGACAUGGUGGGCCCUUUCAAGACAGCCCGCGGUGGCCUGACACAUCUACUGGUCGCUGUGGACAAGUUCACAAAGUGGAUCGAGGCCAAGCCGAUUAAGAAGCUGAACGGGCCGACUGCCGUUACAUUCAUCACCGACAUCACUACUCGGUACGGCGUGCCACACAGCAUCAUCACCGACAACGGCACGAACUUCGCCAAAGGAGCACUGGCACGUUUCUGCGCGACGCAGGGCAUCCGACUGGACUUAGCGUCCGUUGCCCACCCGCAGUCAAAUGGCCAGGUUGAGCGAGCAAAUGGACUCAUCCUCUCCGGCAUCAAGCCCCGACUGGUUGUACCACUGCAGCGAUCGGCCGGCUGCUGGCUCGAAGAGCUGCCGGCUGUCCUCUGGAGCCUGCGCACUACACCCAACAAGUCAACCGGCUUCACUCCAUUCUUCCUCGUGUACGGUGCCGAGGCUGUCAUCCCAACAGACAUCGAGUUCGACUCGCCUCGGAUCACCAUGUACAUGGAGGAGGAAGCCAAAGAAGCAAGAGAAGACGGCGUCGACCUACUGGAAGAAGGCCGGCUGUUAGCCCUCAGCCGGUCCGCCAUCUACCAGCAAGGGCUGCGCCGCUACUACAACCGCAAGGUCAAGCCAAGAUCCUUCCAAGAGGGCGACCUUGUGCUCCGGCUGAUCCAGCGAACAGCCGGCCAGCACAAGCUCUCGGCCCCUUGGGAAGGCCCCUUCGUCGUCAGCAAGGCACUCGGCAACGACUCCUACUACUUGAUCAACGCGCAAAAACCAAGAGCACGCAAGAGAGACGACUCCGGCAAGGAGUCGGAGCGACCAUGGAACGCAAACCUCCUAAGACGAUUUUACAGCUGAAAAGCAGUAUGUAUCACGCUCCCCUUUUGUAUUAAGUACAAACCAACAGGCCCCCCGAACAGUACUCGGGGACUGCCUUUUAUUCAUCUAUGAAUGACGAGUGUCAUAUCCAUGAAUGUAUUAUUACAUUUUGAAUUUUUGUCCAGCACCGGGUUCGACUAGUCGGCCCGGGGACUGGCCGCCUUGAGCUAUAUCGAAAGUUUUUCCUAAAGUCAGAAAAGUAGUGCGCCGGCUCCCGAGUCCUCUCUUGUUGAAAGUCGCAGCUCAAAGAACUGACUGUCCGACUAGCAAGAGGAAAGACAGAAAGGACGCCCACAGGAAAAACGGCUAAGGAAAAACGAACCUAUAUAGCAAAGAGACGGCCUCCAAACAUGCAUGCCGACUACCAGAGCAGCCGACUGGCCGGCUUCCUAAAAAACUUAGCUUUAGUCCAGCAGAGCUAAAGUACUUCCCCCUCCCCAAUCGGCUAGGCACUCCCCCGGCUAUAGAUUGCAGAGCAACUGUUUGACUGGGGAGGCGGCAGCCAAGGGAGGGCGGCAAAGGAAAAAGCAGAAGGACAAAAAGCAAAAGUACAAGGAAAGACCAAAUGCAUAAGUUAUAUAUACAUUAAGCCGGCAACAGGCCGGCAACAGACUUAAGUUUGAAUACACCCUGUGGGUGGAAUUGUGCAGACUUAACCAAACAUUGUUCAAAAGUAAAAGACAGGAAAACAAAAGAAAGAAGACUAAGGCGCGCUGCGGAGGCCGAGCUGGUCGGUGAAGGUGGCCUCGCCGGCUGAAGGAGUGGCCGCCUAGCGGGUCCCGGCUUGACCACCUCCUGCGGCAGGCGACGCACUCGCGCGUGACGUGGUCCUGGAGGUGCGGUCAGGCUGAGGCUGGCCGGCUGCUCCACCAGCCGGCUCGGCGUCCUCACCCUCCUCCUCCUCUUCUUCACCCUCGUCGCUGGAGUCGAUCUCCUCCGCCGAGUCUUCGCCAUGCUCCGGGUCCAGCCCGAACCACUCCUCCGGCUGGGCGACUCCAUUUUCGUCCACCUCGGGGGCGAAGACGCUGGUGUCGCUGUAGUCAGCGAUCGCCGAAGCCCGCCGAAUGAUGGCCGGCCGCGCCGGCUCCAGCUCCGUGUCGGCUUACUGCCGCCAGGUAGCCAGCUGGUCCAGGCUCAGAGUGGGAUACCAAGCCUUGACGAACUCCAGCGCCCGCCUGGCGCCGGAGCGAGCCGCCGAGGCCUUCCAAGCCUCGAAGCGGCCGACUGCCACCUCCAGCCAGUCUGCAGUCCGACUAGGGGUGCGAGGGACCACUUGGCCGGGCCAGAGGGCGGCCAAGACCUGCGCUCCGGCACGCUGAAGCCGGCGGAGCAGCCGGUGAGCCGGCUGGAUGCGAGCCUAGAUCGCCAGGAGCUGUUCCUCCAGCGAGCGGCCGGCGGUUGGCGAGAUCUCAAAGCCGGCCUGCCUUCGCGCUUGGCGACGGGCCUCGAUGGCCUGGUUGGCGGCAGUCGAAUAGCCAGGGAAAUACUCUGCGCGAAGAAGAAGAAAAGAAGAAAGAAACAUCAAAAUCAGAAAACGAGCCAAAGUGGCAGACGGCAAGAAAGGACGAAGAGGUAGACGACUUACCGUCAACCAGAUCUUCGAUCUGGCCAUAGCCAGAGACCAGAGUCUGCCUGGCCUCUGCCCAGCCGGCCGCCUCCGUCUCGAACUCGGCCUGGAGAGUGGCUUCGCGGUCCUGCACCGCCUUCAGUGCCGCCUUAUGGCUAUCCUCCUGGUCGGCCAGCUUCUUGACCAGGCGGUCGCGCUCCUGCACCAAGGCGGCGAGCUCGGCAUCCUUGGCACGAAGAGCAGUCUGGGACUCCCCAGCUGUGCCCUCAGACUGGCGUUGGCCGCUGCAGAAACGGAGGAAGAAGAAGAAAAGUAAGAAAUCGUCAAGGAAGAUCCGAUCCGACUGCUCAGCAGUCGGCCCGAAUCUCGGGGACUACACCCAGUGGGUGCGCUGACGCGCCCCCACAUGAGAUAAAGAUCAAGCCACGUACCUCGGCUCUCAGUAAGGUCGGCGGUCUUCUAAGUCAGCUCCCGAGCCUGGGAGUUGAAGGCGGCCGCUCGAAGGUUGUGGUAGUCCUGCAAAAUGGACAGAAGACCGAAGUGAGAACAAAAAUAGCAAAGGCAAAACCUCCAAGAAGUUCCAAGCCGCCUGCUCAGCAGCCGACUCGGAACUCGGGGACUACACCCAGUGGGUGCGCUGACGCGCCCCCACGGAAGAAAUCAAGAUCAAGAAAAAACAAGAUGGGAAUACUAACCCGGAUGGCCGCCCGCGUUGCGAGGAACUCGUCGGUGAACUGCCUCAGCGCCGCGGCUUGGCUUUGGAGCCGGGUCCGGACGUCUUGCGCAGCCACAUUCACCACGGCCGUCCCUCCGCCUGGUGUCCACCCCGAGGUAGCGCUGGCCACCUCCACAUCUCGGGCCGACGAACUGGAGCCCACGGCCGGCUGUGGCUCCGACGCGGCCUUCUGCGGCUCCGACGCGGCCUUCCCCGCGCGCCGGCUUGGCGGAAUCCGGACCGCCACCUCAGCCCUCGCGGCCGGCUCGCCCUCCGCCGACUGUGCAGGCGGCGAAUCAGGCCGGCCGCCUUGGGCCGCCCCAGUUGGCGGGGUCGGCUCCGGCCCCUUCUCCAAAAUGAUGACGUCGUCGCGGCUCCCUCCCAGCCCUGGCUGGGAGCCGCUGGCUCCCCCUGGCGAGGGCUCCACGUCCCCAGGCGCCAUGACGCGGAGGGGGGUGACCAUCAAAACCUCCCCUGCCGCCGCCGCGGCCUCAGCCUCUGCCUGGGCCCUGGCUGCGGCCUCGGUGAGUGCCUUCGCCGCCUCCUCCUCCCGUGCCGCCUGGGCGGCGGCUGCCUUCCGUGCCUCCGCCUCCCGUGCCUCCUGCUCCUCCCGCGCCUCCCGCGCAUUCCUUUCCGUCGCCUCCUGGAGGUCGGCGCGGGGGUCCACGCGGCGGGUGGUGCUCCCAGAGCCUCUUGGCGACUCGACGACGGAGCCGGCAGCCGCCCGUUCAAGUGACAACGGAGCUCUGAUCGUCGAAGAAAAGGACGAGAGUUCAAGAACCACCAAAGAAAGAAAGAAAGAGAAUACACAAAGAAAGAUUCGGACUUACGCCGACACGGUUUGCGGUUGCUUCACCACUUUGCGGAAACGAGCCGCCUUCGCGGCCGCCUCUUCCUGCCUGGUGGCUGCCGCCCCGCCCCUGGGUUUCUUCGUUCGGUUGCCGAAUAGACCCUGGGCGGCGCGACGCUUCUGCCCUCCACCCCGAGCAGGCUGCGCGGCGGAGGAGCCCGCGCCGCGUCCAGAUGCCGGCUGGCGGCGCGGGACGGCUUCGGCUUCAUCCUCGUCCGGCCAGUCGUCGAAGGUAGCAGUGAACCCGGAGCCGCCUGCUUCGCCGCCGGCUUGGCCACCGCCCGGCUCGACGGCGUCGUCCAUAUGGACCGCCCCCAGGUCGGGGUCCUCCAGGUCGUGUUCGGUCCGGUCGGGGACGAAGCGGCGCUCCACGUCUGACCCGCCGGCCGGCCGAAGCAGAGGGCUCUGUCGAAGAACAAGCCGACUAAGUUAGAGUCGGCCAAGAGAUGCUCGGCAACAAGGCUGAGAGAGAGAGAGAAAAAGAGACAAGGGGAGCAUACCGUAGGCGGAGGAUUGGCUCGGCUAUAUGGCUCCUUGCCGAACUGCCACUCUUCAGUGAGUUGGUAGUUUGCAAGGUAGUUCACCAUGUAGGCGACCUCAUGGCGCGGCAUCUCCUUGGUGCACAUUCGGCUCGGAUCGAGCUGGCCGCUCAUCUGACAGAUCAAAUGAGGCCGGCUCUGGAGCGGAAGAACCCAGCGCGUGACGAACGCGGCCAGGAGGUCGGGCCCCGUCAGGCCCUUCGACUGGACCAUCACCCGCAGUCGGGCGAUGGCGGCGUUUCCCGCCUGCGACAGCGUCACAGCCCGGAAGGACCACUGGGGCAGCCUGCCCGCCGGUGGGCCGGCUACGUAAGCCGGCAGGUUGAUGUAGUCGCCCCGUCGAGCGAUGUUCCGCACGUAGAAGUACGACUUCUGCCACUUCUUCACCGAUUGGAUCAGCGUGAUGACGGGGAAGGGGUUGUCAGCGCCCGAUCUCCGCGACGCGAUGAAGGCGCCAGUAUGAGCCGGCACGCCCUUGCUGCGCGUGCCCAGCUUCGACUGGAAAAGCUCCCCCCAGAGCUCAAGGGUGGGGAGGACGCCGAGAUAGCCCUCGCACAGGGUGACGAAGGCAGACAGCAGCACCACCGCGUUGGGGGUGAGAUGGUGCGGCUGGAGCUGAUAGAAUUCGAGCCAGGAGCGGAAGAAGGCGCUCACUGGCAGGCCGAAGCCGCGCAAGAAGUGCGAGCGGAAGACCACCCGCUCGCCCUCCUGCGGCCUCGACGAGAUUUCCUUCGCCGGCGCGAGGCGGACCUCCACUUUGUCCGCGCUGGGCAGCCGCCGCGUGUCGCGAAGGAAGUCGACGUGGUCGUCAUGGAUGUUGGAGCCGUCCCAAUCCCCGCCAAGCUGCUCUAUGGUGGGAGGCAUGGCGAAAGCUAGCACGGCGGCGGAGGAGCGUGUGGUGGAAGAGCGCGGCGGCGAGGCGCUGUCGCGAGAACGGGCAAGCGAAGAAGACGGUGGAAGUAGGAGGAGCGUGCGAGGGCCUGCCGCCCUCCACCUCCCCCUACUUAUAGCCUCACGAGGCCAAAGAGGCCGGACGCGGGGGGAGACGUGGGAUUAACUGCGCCCACUCCCCCCACGUCUCGCGUUUAUUGCGCAUAAGUGCGAGCCGAAACUGCCGCACGGAACGUGCGGGCGGUUUCGGGAUACAAAGGAUCCGCGCCUGGGCCAGGGCGCGGACGUGGCGGGGCCCCUCCCUGCGGCGACGUCCCGUCACGCGCGUGGGCUGGCAGGCUUUCCGGCCACGUGGUUCGCCGACGGCCCGUGGCCGGCCCGCGGCCCGGUGCACGUGCCAGCGGGUUCCCGCCCUCCGACUCUAGAAGAUUUCGACUCAGGCAGCGCGCCUGACCAAGGCCGGCUCCCAGCUGCCGGCUUGUCAAGAUAGGAAGCUGAUCGAGCUUCUAAACCCCUACUCCACCUCGAAGCCCAAUCAGCUUCGGGGACUACUGUCGGAGUAAAUGGCCACGGGUAGCCCAACCGACUACCCCUGGUUCUUCAGAAAAAUUAUCAGGCCUUUGGGCCUUCAAGCACUCCAAGCAUUUGGGCCGCCUUCCCUGGCCGGCUACCUCUGAAGCCGACUCCCGGAAGACGACCCAGCCUCGAGCAACCUCUCCCCAGGACGACUACGGGGUGGCCGACUCCAAGAAGCCGGCCAAGAAGGACGCCGGCUCCUAGCAGCCGGCCGAGACCACAACCACCAAAGCUGUUCCCACAUAACGGCGACACGACGGGGUGUGGCCACAGUGUGGCCCACUACCCCCGAAGCUCGAGGCGGGCAUGGCUACAGGAGGCCGUACGGGACGGUCGUCUCCCGUGCGGCUCGGCACUGUAGCCAUGCUAGCCUCGACGUCAUCCACGACCAACUCCUGUACGGCCCAAGGACUGCGGGCCCCUUCAGCCAGAGAGAGGCGUGAAGGCGGCCCGGCCUUUCCCAGUCGGCCAAGAGCAUAGCCGGCCUCCAGAAGCCGGCUACUCCCUUCCUCGAAGCAGGAGCCCCAUUAAGGAGACAAGACGAGGUAAGGCUACAGUGAUAGCCCCCGAGGCGGCCCACUGUAGCCACGCUUACCUCGACAAAGCCCUCGUCAUCACAGGCGAGGCUACAGUAAGCAGCCGCCGACAAGACCCUAGGCGGUGGGGCCGGCCUGUCGACCAAGUAGUCGGCAGCCGGCGGGACCCAGCAGCCGGCGGAGAAGCCGGCGAGCGUAGACACUGACGGCUGGGACCAGCUCCCGGUCGGGUUACCAUUGUACCCCCGGGGGGUAGGCCUAUAUAAACCCCCCGGAGCACCCAUGCAAAGGGUUCUCUUCUAAUCAUAGUUGGCCUCUGAGCUUAGAGUUCCCUCCUAAGCAUAGCACACACACCAUAGAUAGAGAGAAGCAAGAGCUAGUCUUGUUCUUCUUCUCCCUUGAUCUCAACAGCUCUAGGAGCGAUUGUAGCUACCUUUCGUCGAUCUAGUGAUCAUGCGGAGACCCCGCAGAGCAGGCCUAGGGGUGUUAUCUCCUCGGAGAGCCCCGAACCUGGGUAAGAUCCGCCGGCGUGCAUGUCUUCGCCUCAUCCCGAUUCCAGGCACCGACGACGUUUUAUUGGCUCCCACAAUGAUAAGCCAUCCCUUGGCAUAUGUCGCACCAACCACCCGACAUCUAUAGUCAGGAAACAUGACCAUCUUUGAUAAACAAGCUAGUCAAGUAGAGGCAUACUAGGGACACUAUGUUUUGUCUAUGUAUUCGCACAUGAACUAAGUUUCCGGUUAAUACAAUUCUAGCAUGAAUAAUAAACAUUUAUCAAGAUGUAAGGAAAUAAAUAAUAACUUUAUUAUUGCCUCUAGGGCAUAUUUCCUUCAGUCUCCCACUUGCACUAGAGUCAAUAAUCUAGUUCACAUCGCCAUGUGAUUUAACACCAAUAGUUCACAUCAUUAUGUGAUUAACACCCAUAGUUCACAUCGCCAUGUGACCAACACUCAAAGGGUUUACUAGAGUCAAUAAUCUAGUUCACAUCGUUUAUGUGAUUAACACCCAAGAGUAAUAAGGUGUGAUCAUGUUUUGCUUGUGAGAGAAGUUUUAGUCUAUGGGUCUGCCACUUUCACAUCCGUAAGUAUUUUGCAAAUUUCUAUGUCUACAAUGCUCUGCACGGAGCCACUCUAGCUAAUUGCUCCCACUUUUAAUAUGUAUCCAGAUUGAGACGUAGAGUCAUCUGGAUCGGUGUAAAAGCUUGCAUCGACGUAACUCUUUACGACGAACUCUUUGUUACCUCCAUAAUCGAGAAAUAUUUCCUUAGUCUUCUAAGGAUAAUUUUGACCGUUGUCCAGUGAUCUACUCCUAGAUCACUAUUGUACCCUCUAGCCAAACUCAUGGUGAGGUACAUAAUAGGUCGGGUACACAGCAUAUCAUACUUUAUAGAACCUAUGACCGAGGCGUAGGGAAUGACUUUCAUUCUCUUUCUAUUUUUUGCCAUGGUCGGGUUUUGAGUCUUACUCAACUUCACACCUUGCAACACAGGCAAGAACUCCUUAUUUGACUGUUCCUUUUUGAACUACUUCAAAAUUGUUGGGGAACGCAGUAUUUCAAAAAAUUUCCUACGAUCACGCAAGAUCUAUCUAGGUGAUGCAUAGCAACGAGCGGGGAGAGUGUGUCCACGUACCCUCGUAGACCGAAAGCGGAAGCAUUAUAUCAACGCGGUUGAUGUAGUCGUACGUCUUCACGAUCCGACCGAUCUCAGCACCGAACGUACGUCACCUCCGUGUUCAGCACACGUUCAGUUCGAUGACGUCCCUUGUACUCUUGAUCCAGUUGAGGCUGAGGGAGAGUUCCGUCAGCACGACGGCGUGGUGACGGUGAUGAUGAAGUUACCGGCGCAGGGCUUCGCCUAAGCACUACGACGAUGUGACCGAGGUGAAAUAUGGUGGAGGGGGGCACUUGAUAACCCACAAGUAUAGGGCAUCAAUUGUAGCCUCUUUCGAUAAGUAAGAGUGUCGAACCCACCGAGGAGCUAAAGGUAGAACAAAUAUUCCCUCAAGUUCUAUCGACCAUCGAUACAACUCUACGCACGCUUAACGUUCGCUUUACCGAGAACAAGUAUCAAACUAGAAGUACUUUGUAGGUGUUGCGGGAUAGGUUUGCAAGAAUAUAAAGAGCACGUAAAUAAAAACUAGGGGCUGUUUAGAUAAAGACACAAUAAAGUUAGUAUAGCGAGUGUGGAAAAAGUGGUGGUAGGAGUUGCGAAAUUGUCCCUAAGCAAUUGACUACUUUACUAGACCGAUAGCAAGUUUUAUGUGGGAGAGGCCACUGCUAGCAUGUCAUCCCUGACUUGGAAUUCUAUGCACUUAUGAUUGGAACUAUUAGCAAGCAUCCGCAACUACUAACGUUCAUUAAGAUAAAACCCAACCAUAGCAUUAAGAUAUAUUGGCCCCCCUUCAAUCCCGUAUGCAUCAAUUUCUAUGCUAGGUUGAAGCUUCUGUCACUCUUGCUCUCCAAUACAUAGUCCUAUCAAGAUACAACUAACCCUAUGGUGUGAUCCACGCGCGCGCUCAUAUGACGGGCACCAAAGGACAGCAACAUAACCACAAGCAAAUUAAACCAAUCAUAGCAAUUCACCAAUUACCGAUAGGACAACGAAAAUCUACUCAUACAUCAUAGGAUCGCAACACAUCAUUGGAUAAUAAUAUGAAGCAUAAAGCACCAUGUUCAAGUAGAGGGUACAGCGGGUUGCGGGAGAGUGGACUGAUGUAGAUAGCGGGGGGAAGGUGAUGGAGAUGUUGGUGAAGAUGGCGUAGGUGUUGGUGAAGAUCGCGGUGAUGAUGAUGGCCCCGGUGGCGUUCCGGCGCCACCAGAAGCAAGGGGGAGAGAGCCCCCUCCUCCUCCUUCUUCCUUGACCUUCUCCCUAGAUGGGAGAAGGGGUUCCCCUCCGGUCCAUGGUCUCCAUGGCGUGGGAGGGGCGAGAGCCCCUCCGAGAUUGGAUCUGUCUCUCUGUCUCUCUCUGUUUCUGCGUUCCCCGAUUCUGCCCUUUCACCGUUUCUUAUAUAUCCGGAGAUCCGUAACUCCGAUUGGAUAGAAACCUUCGCCCAAAUUUUUCUCCGAAAAUUAGCUUUCUUGCGGCCAAAGAAGAGCAGCAACCGCCUUACGGGGUGCCCACGAGGGUCAGGGGCACGCCCCCUGCCUCGUGGCCCCCUCGGGCAUCGUCUCGCGUUGAUUCUUCUUCCCAAAUAUCACAAAUAUUCCAAAAAUAUUCUCCGUCCGUUUUUAUCCGGUUUGGACUCCGUUUGAUAUGGGUUUUCUGCGAAACAUAAAACAUGCAACAAACAGGAACUGGCACUGGGCACUGGAUCAAUAUGUUAGUCCCAAAAAUAAUAUAAAAGUUGCCAAAAGUAUAUGAAAGUUGUAGAAUAUUGGCAUGGAACAAUAAAAAAUUAUAGAUACGACGAAGACGUAUCAGCAUCCCCGAGCUUAAUUCCUGCUCGUCCUCGAGUAGGUAAAUGAUAAAAAAGAUAAUUUUUGAUGUGGAAUGCUACCUAGCAUAAUCUUGAUCACAUAAUCUAAUCAUGGCAUGAAUAUGAAGACACGAGUGAUUCAAAGCAAUAGUCUAUCAUUUGACAUUAAGACAAUAACACUUCAAGCAUACUAACCAAGCAGUCAUGUCCUCUCAAAAUAACAUAGCCAAAGAAAGCUCAUCCCUACAAAAUCAUAUAGUUUGGCCAUGCUUCAUUUCUGUCACACAAAAUGCUCCCAUCAUGCACAACCCCGAUGACAAGCCGAGCAAUUGGUUCAUACUUUUUAAUGCGCUUCAGCCUUUUCAACCCUCACGCAAUACAUGAGCGCAAGCCAUGGAUAUAGCACUAUGGGUGAAAUAGAAUAUGAUGGUGGAGGUUUGUGUGAGAAGACAAAAAAGGAGAAAGUCUCACAUCGACGCGGCUAAUCAACGGGCUAUGGAGAUGCCCAUCAAUUGAUGUCAAUGUGAGGAGUAGGGAUUGCCAUGCAACAGAUGAACUAGAGCUAUAAGUAUAUGAAAGCUCAGACUGAAACUAAGUGGGCGUGCAUCCAACUUGCUUGCUCAUGAAGACCUAGGGCAUUUGAGGAAGCCCAUCAUUGGAAUAUACAAGCCAAGUUCUAUAAUGAAAAUUCCCACUAGUAUAUGAAAGUGAUAACUCAAGAGACUCUCUAUAUGAAGAACAUGGUGCUACUCUGAAGCACAAGUAUGGUAAAAGGAUAGUAGCAUUGUCCCUUCUCUCUUUUUCUCUCAUUUUUUUGUUUUUUGGGCCUUCUCUUUUUUUGGCCUUUCUCAUUUUUUCCUUUUUAUUUUUUCUUUUUAUUUUUUCGUGCGGAGUCUCAUCCCAACUUGUGGGGGAAUCAUAGUCUCCAUCAUCCUUUCCUCACUGGGACAAUGCUCUAAUAAUGAUGAUCAUCACACUUUUAUUUACUUACAACUCAAUAUUACAACUCGAUACUGGAACAAAGAUAUGACUCUUAUAUGAAUGCCUCCGGUGGUGUACCGGGAUGUGCAAUGAUCUAGCGUAGCAAUGACAUCAAAAAACGGACAAGCCAUGGAAACAUCAUGCUAGCUAUCUUACGAUCAUGCAAAGCAAUAUGACAAUAAAUGCUCAAGUCAUGUAUAUGAUGAUGAUGGAAGUUGCAUGGCAAUAUAUCUCGGAAUGGCUAUGGAAAUGCCAUAAUAGGUAGGUAUGGUGGCUGUUUUGAGGAAGAUAUAAGGAGGCUUAUGUGUGACAGAGUGUAUCAUAUCACGGGGUUUGGAUGCACCGGCGAAGUUUGCACCAAAUCUCGAGGUGAGAAAGGGCAAUGCACGGUACCAAAGAGGCUAGCAAUGAUGGAAGGGUGAGAGUGUGUAUAAUCCAUGGACUCACAUUAGUCAUAAAGAACUCAUAUACUUAUUACAAAAUUUUAUUAGCCCUCGAACAUAAUACUACUAUGCAUGCCCCUAGGGGGAUAGAUUGGUAGGAAAAGACCAUCGCUCGUCCCCGACCGCCACUCAUAAGGAAAGCAAUCAAAGAACACCCCAUGCUUCAAAUUUGUCACACAAUGUUUACCAUACGUGCAUGCUACGGGACUUGCAAACCUCAACACAAGUAUUUCUCAAUUUCACAAUUACUCAACUAGCACGACUCUAAUAUCAGCAUCUUUAUAUCGCAAAACUAUUGAAAGGAAUCAAACAUAUCAUAUUCAGUGAUCUACAAGUUUUAUGUAGGAUUUUAUGAGAGCAGCGAUAUGGCUCAUACUACCAUAUGGUCAUAAUAUCUGGGCUGUUCGAUGGCCUUAUCUGGCAGUUGUGUGGCAUUGAAUGCCAUAAAGUGCGAGUUGUAGAAAAUGGCGUAUUGCCACAGGGGAGCGUACAGCAUGGGGUGGGCUGUACGCCUAUACCCGACCGUAUGUCUGACACUUCCUGACCCGUGGUCAGGUGACGGGCACGGGCGUUACAAAACACCUGCACCGCUGGUCCAAUGUGGUGAUAUAUAUUCUGGACCAUGGUCCAUAAUUGUUUUUUUGUGCUGCCGACGGUGGGGGUUUCCGUGCAGUUAGGCUACGGAUUGGGUGGAGCCUGAUAGAGGCGGAGGCGAUUUUAUCAGCGGCGGAGGGUGUUUCAGUGGCCAUGGGCGCCGCCGGCGAUUUCUUCUUGGAUCCAGUGUGCAGGUCAGUGCUCCCCGGCGAGCCACCGCCGCCCCCACACCGCCCAAACCCCCCGCACUUCAUUCUCCCUCCUCCCCGCAUUCUGAGCUGUAUGAGGGGUCUAUUCGUGAUGAGGGGAGCGAGGUCGAAGGUUGGGCAGCCGCCCGUAUGGGAGAUUCGUCGGUGACCGCACACGAUAAUUGUGGCGACCUUGCUGGGGAUGGUAGCAGGGACAACGCUGCGGAGUCCGGAGAGUCGGCGAUGAAGCAAGACCCGAAGGGCCCGGGUUGGAUUAAAAGGUAUUAGCUCUGACUGAUUACAAUGUCUACGCGCGUGUGGGUGUUACUCUAUCAUUUUGGGGUGGCGGUGGUUCAAGCAAUUGCCUGCAUCGUUUUCUGUAUCAUAUAGUUGCGUGGCUAGGAAAAAAUGUAGUGCUAUUAUUGGUUAAUCAAUUGGAUGUGUGUGGAUGCGAUCAAGACCAGUUUGCUGCAAAAGUGUGUGAAUCCUACUCCUACUAGGAGUAGGUUUCCCCCUUUCCUAGUCCAACUAGGAGAAGAAGGAAGGAGGUGGAAAGAGAAGGAAGGAGGGGGCGCCGCCCCUCCCCCUAGUCCAAUUUGGACUAGGCCCAUGGGGGGGGAGGGCGCGGCCAGCCCUUGGCUGCCCCUCUAUCUCUCCCCUAGGCCCAAUAAGGCCCAUUACUUCUCCGGUGGUUCCGAUAACCCUUCCGGCACUCCGAUAUUUAUCCGGUGACCCCCGGAACUCAUCCAGUGUCCGAAUAACAUCGUCCAAUAUAUCAUUCUUUAUGUCUCGACCAGUUCGAGACUCCUCGUCAUGUCCGUGAUCACAUCCGGGACUCCGAACUACCUUCGGUACAUAAAAACACAUAAAUUCAUAAUACCGAUCGUCAUCGAACGUUAAGCGUGCGGACCCUACAGGUUCGAGAACUAUGUGGACAUGACCGAGACUCAUCUCCGGUCAAUAACCAAUAGCGGAACCUGGAUGCUCAUAUUGGUUCUACAUAUUAUACGAAGAUCUUUAUCGGUCAAACCGCAUAACAACAUACGUUGUUCCCUUUGUCAUCGGUAUGUUACUUGCCCGAGAUUCGAUCGUCGGUAUCAUCAUACCUAGUUCAAUCUCACUACCGGCAAGUCUCUUUACUCGUUCCGUAAUGCAUCAUCCCGUGACUAACUCAUUAGUCACAUUGCUUGCAAGGCUUAUAGUGAUGUGCAUUACCGAGAGGGCCAGAGAUACCUCUUCGAAACACGGAGUGACAAAUCCUAAUCUCGAUCUAUGCCAACCCAACAAACACCAUCGGAGACACCUGUAGAGCAUCUUUAUAAUCACCCAGUUACGUUGAGACGUUUGAUAGGACAUAAAGUGUUCCUCCGGUAUUCGGGAGUUGCAUAAUCUCAUAGUCUGAGGAACAUGUAUAAGUCAUGAAGAAAGCAGUAGCAAUGAAACUGAAAUGAUCAUAAUGCUAAGCUAACGAAUGGGUCUUGUCCAUCACAUCAUUCUCAAAUGAUGUGAUCCCGUUCAUCAAAUGACAACACAUGUCUAUGGCUAGGAAACUUAACCAUCUUUGAUUAGCGAGCUAGUCAAGUAGAGGCAUACUAGGGACACUCUGUUUGUCUAUGUAUUCACACAUGUACUAAGUUUCCGGUUAAUACAAUUCUAGCAUGAAUAAUAAACAUUUAUCAUGAAAUAAGGAAAUAAAUAAUAACUUUAUUAUUGCCUCUAGGGCAUAUUUCCUUCAGUCUCCCACUUGCAAUAGUGUCAAUAAUUUAGUUCACAUCGCCAUGUGAUUUAACACCAAUAGUUCACAUCACCAUGUGAUUAACACCCAUAGUUCACAUCGUCAUGUGACCAACACCCAAAGUGUUUACUAGAGUCAAUAAUCUAGUUCACAUCGCUAUGUGAUUAACACCCAAAGAGUACUAAGGUGUGAUCAUGUUUUGCUUGUGAGAGAAGUUUAGUCAACGGGUCUGCCACAUUCAGAGCCGUAUGUAUUUUGCAAAUAUUCUAUGUCUACAAUACUCUGCACGGAGCUACUCUAGCUAAUUGCUCCCACUUUCAAUAUGUAUCCAGAUUGAGACUUAGUGUCAUCCGGAUUGGUGUAAAAACUUGCAUCGACGUAACUCUUUACAACGAACUCUUUAUCACCUCCAUAACUGAGAAAUAUUUCCUUAGUCCUCUAAGGACAAUUUUGACCGUUGUCCAGUGAUCUACUCCUAGAUCAAAACUGUACUCCCUUGCCAAACUCAGGGCAGGGUAUACAAUAGGUCUGGUACACAGCAUGGCAUACUUUAUAGAACCUAUGGCUGAGGCAUAGGGAAUGAAUUUCAUUCUCUCUCUAUCUUCUGCCGUGGUCGGGCUUUGAGUCUUACUCAACUUCACACCUAGCAACACAGGCAAAAACUCCUUCUUUGACUGUUCCAUUUUGAACUACUUCAAAAUCUUGUCAAGGUAUGUACUCAUUGAAAAAACUUAUCAAGCGUUUUGAUCUAUCUCUAUAGAUCUUGAUGCUCAAUAUGUAAGCAGCUUCACCGAGGUCUUUCUUUGAAAAACUCCUUUCAAACACUCCAUUAUGCUUUCCAGAAAAUUCUACAUCAUUUCCGAUCAACAAUAUGUCUUUCACAUAUACUUAUCAGAAAAACUUUAGUGCUCCCACUAACUUUCUUGUAUACAGGCUUCACCUGCAAGUCUGUAUAAAACUAUAUGCUUUGAUCAACUCAUCAAAGCGUAUAUUCCAACUCCGAGAUGCUUGCACCAGUCCAUAGAUGGAUCGUUGGAGUUUGCACACUUUGUUAGCACCUUGAGGAUUGACAAAACCUUCUUGAUGUAUCAUAUACAACUCUUCUUUAAGAAAUCCAUUAAGGAUUGCAGUUUUGACAUCUAUUUGCCAGAUUUCAUCAAAGUGGCAAUUGCUAACAUGAUUUGGACAGACUUAAGCAUCGCUACGAGUGAGAAAAUCUCAUCGUAGUCAACACCUUGAACUUGUCGAAAAAUCUCAUCGUACUCAGUCCCUGCUAAACGUUUCCGUUCGUAUGCACAUCCCACAUAGUCGCUCCAAGGAAAACGUUUCCGUUCAUAGGUACAUCACACACAAUUUUUCCCGUUAAAUUGUUUGCGUUAUUGAAUGUAUCACACACGGUCCGUAGAAGAAACUGUGUGGCAAAGGCUGUCCAUCACACACAGUUUUUAUGUGGUAAACGUUUGCGCAAGGUGGCCUAACGCAAACAGUUUUCAAGAGAAAGUCGUGUGCGAUUGUUCAUUAAUCCAACACGGUUUAUUUCUAGAAACUGUGUGCGUUGCCUGAGGUCAUCGCCCACGGUACUAUUUCAACAACCGUCUGCAACAGAAAAACCCAAUUAGCAGGCAAAUUCGCCUUUAGCAGGCUAAUUAUCCGAUCAAUCAUAAUCCAUUUAUUAAUCUAAUUGACAUUUCAUAUUAAGCACACAAUAUAUUUCAUUUCCAUAUUAAGGAAGCAGAAUUUCAUAAUUGAAAUACAUCAGAGUACAACAUGAUAUAGCUUCAGCACUCAGCUACCCCAUUACACAAUUGCACCAGCAGCAAGUUCCACAUGCAACAUGUAGAACCUUUCGAAAUUAGCAUCAUAGAUGGUAUAUAGACAGAUGCAUCUCAUCUGGAAAACUGCUGAAGCGGAAGGCGAAUAUUGAGCCUUCAGUCAUGUUGAAGGUCUUUGCAACUUUAGGCCAGUGCCUGUGGAUGAUUGACCGUCCGUCCUUCGUCCUCUUCAGGAACACUUCAAUAUUGAACCGUGGGUGUUGUAUGAAAACCUUCCUCGCCUCCUGACCAUAGAGGUGGUUUGAGAGGUAAUCAUCAGUGAACUGCUUUGGAAAGGCCUGAAAACAAGGAUGUGAAUAAAUAUCUUUUCUAUAUUGAAAAUGGGGCAAAGGAAUAAAAAAGGCAAGGUAUAAUAGUUAGUACCAUCUUGUAGUGAACUGAUGUCUUCUUCAUUGUGCAGACAAAGAUCUUGUUGUUUUUUGUCGCUAAUUUCUUUAUCCUAACCAUCUUUCUGAGUUUCUUGAUUUGAUUGGUAUUCAUGGACAACUCAUUUCCCCAUGUGCAAAAAGGGUCGAACAGUAGGUCAAAACCUCUGACAGGAGGACCUACAUGUGCAAGAUCAAAUUGUUAAAAAUCUAAAUAUUAGAAUGGUUCCUUCAAUUGCACAAUAAUGUGCUAUUAGACAAUGUACCAUGCAUGUGCUAACCUCGAUUGUAAACCUUAGUGCUUCCCAUUGUUUCCCUGCAACACAUAUAAGGUAGUUAGUCACCAGGUUAAGUAAGGGUUUGCAUGCUAUCAGUAAAAUAUGUUGAUGAAAAAUAAGCACAUUGCAGAUUCAUUAGAUUAAUUAAAUCCACACGGAAAACCCAUUUACCCAAACCAAGCAUGAUUAAGAACUAGGAAAUAUAGCACUUGUAUAUGUUUCUCAUGUAUAGGUGCAGCCAAAUUCGAUUUAUUCCUCACAUGCACAACAGUACAAAAUUCUACCCACGACAAUUGGACCUUGCAUUGCAGAAUUGAACCAAUCAGUUAACUAAACACCACAACAAAUGAACCAAACAUUAACUGAGCACCACAUUGCACAAUAUAACAUACUCCUAAUAGAAGAUCAGACAGUUAACCAAACAGUUAACUACAGCCAAUUGUAGCAAUUGUAUUUGUUUCUCAUGUAUUUACUACAGCCAAAUUCAAUUUAUUCCUCACAUGGUAUACAAUAACAGAAUGCACCCACAGUUUUGUAAAGAUAAAUUUGAUUUAUUUCUCACACGGAAGACAAUACAAAAUUGGAGCCUGAAGAAUUGAACAUCACAUUUACAGAAUUGAACCAAACAGUUAACUGAAGACGACAACUAAUUAACAAAAUAGUUAAUAAGUGAGCACCACACUGCACUACAUAUAGAACAUAUACACUAGAGCAACAGAUUGCAUGGUAAAAUUAGAUAGCACAAUUCACUAGAAUUUGUGAAGGAAAGGCAGGAGCAGCACACGCAACUGGUAAACCGAGCAUGCUUAACCAGUGUAUGUAGCAAAUGGCAAGGUGCUCCUUCAAGAUCUGGGGGUCGGCACGAAUGGCAGCCAUCGCGACCUCAUCCGCGCGUGCGGCCGCGAUUUGCUUCUCCGCUGCCAAAUGCUCCUUGAGAUCCUGGCUAUACUGCGUGCACCAUGGCUUAGGCCGGCGCUUAUUUGGUGGAGGGGUCGGUGAUUUGGGUGGAAGGUGUCGUGCUCGCGCCGGCGGUCGGGGCAUGUGAGAUGUGGAAGGAGGAGGAGGAUGGGGGUCGGGUGUGGAUUACCUGCCUGGAUAGAGGAGGCCGAGCAGCGUGAAGGAGGGUCGCCGACGAGGAGGCGGCGCUGCAAGCAAGGAGUGAAGGUUUCAACUUGGAAAGGAAGGCGGAAAGAGGGGAAAUGUGGCUUUUGGUAGGGGGAGGGGGCGGGGAGUUAGAUAUUUCCGCGGAAGGCGAAAAUUUGGAAUUACUUCAGCGAAAAAACUGGCGCGCAAAGUGUCAUCAGACACGGUCCCUUAUUUAGAACUGUGUACGAUAUGUGGACAUCACAAAUGAUUUGGACAGCUUAACCUGUGUGUGAUGAGGUUGAACGUCAAAAGUUUUGGUUCGAAUUUCCAUGGUUACAGUGGUCAUCCAUGUCAUUGCAUAAUUUGGGUACACAAAGGAGAGUACAGCACACCCACACUUCUUAAUCGAGCAAGUUCAGCAAUUAAACAGAGCUAGCUAACCUAAACAUUACUCUAACAAAUUAAAGACUGGCACUUUUAAUUAAACAAAACAAAGAGUACUACUACGGCUGGUGCUCGUCGAUCUCCGCCGCCGCCUCCAUGUCCAGCUCGCGCCCGACGGUCUCCUGGGGAAAGGGCCCCAUGGCAUCCAUCGCACCAUACUCGGCAAGCAUCUCGCCAUCCGUGUCUGCCAUCUCUUUGGAAAAGGCCGCCACGAGCUGGGCGUGGGCGGACGCGAUCUGGGCUUGGACAGGCUCCAUCGUCGCAAGGUAUGCGGCGGAGGAAUGGACGGCUGCUCGAACGCUCUCGGCGAUUGCCAGCUCUUUGGCCGUGGGUUGCCGACCGUUGUCGGAGAAGCUUCGUUCGAUUUGUGCGGUGACCGCCAGGAGCUGGGCGUGGGCGGCCUCGACAUGGCCGUGGGUGGCCUCCAUCAGUGCUUAGGCCACCACUGCGGAACGAACAACUGUUGUGCCGCUCUCGCAAGUUGCUAUCCCCGAGGCAGAUGUUGCUGCCACCACCUGAGAAGCAACCGCGGCCGUUUGGGCUGCCUUUGCCGCCCGGUCGCAGAUUGUGGCCGCGCUCAUGCACCUUGUUAGCACGCGCAUGGCGGCUGCGGCCGCGCUCUCGCCGGAGUGGGCCACCGAAGUUGCCCUCACGACGCGGGUCCAUGUGCCCAUCUUUCUCCGACGAUGAUUGAACAGUGAAAUGAUAUUUGGGGAGCGAGCUAGUGUGCUUGUGACGCCGGCUGUGGACUGUAGCCGACGCACCUUCUCGCGUAAGCCAUAGGCGUACUAUACACCGACGGUGCUCUAGGAUAUUUUGUGCUGCAUCUCACACGGUUGCUGAUAAUAAACUGUGUGCGAUCUACUUGAAUUUUCAUCUUGAUUUGAAUUACAUAAUGGGGUCAUAGCGGCAAUGGACGGUGUUUGAAUUGCUAGACCUUUUAUCUGGAGUGAACAUGCAACUAUAUGUGUGUCGUAAAAGAAUUGGAAUUAUUCAGGGUUCGUUUGAACAUUUUAUACAUUAAAUUGGAUUUGUAGCCAUUUCAGGUGAACAAUUCCAAUUUGAACUACAUGCACCUGCUCCAGCGCAUAUAAAUUGGUCGAAAAAUCAAAUAUGUGUCCUUGGGUGCAUGCUUAGGUCCAAUGCAAGGAAUGGGAAUGAAUUUCAAACACCAGGGCACCGUUGAUUGCUGGCAAAACAUUGAGAUGUCUGGUUUUUAAAUUCUAGUAAAUCGAAAUAUCAUCUGAAAUUCAUGAAACUUGGCAUGCUGUCAUGGAACGGCAUCAACAUGCCGUGGUAAAUUUUUUGUCCCAUUUGGGGCAGGUUUGGGUAUAUGCUUCUCACAAACCGGAGCUUCUCACAACAAGCAUGAUGGUUUUCAGUAGGGUACGUCCCACCUUUGGGGACGAAACGAUAUCCAUUGCCUCUUAUUGCUUUCAAAUUUUUUCUCGUGUCAACAUGGAACAACAGGAGUGUUGUGUGAAUUUUUGUGAUUUUUCGGGGUUCGUUUUGACAUUUUUAUGCAUUAACCGAGUUUUCAAUGCAUUUAUGUGCAUAAUUCAAAUUUGAACUACAUGCACAUGCUCCAGUGCAUAUAAAUUGGUCGAAAAAUCAAAUCUGUGUCCUUGGGUGCAUCCUUAGGUCCCAUGCAAGAAAUGGGAAUGAAUUUAAAACACCAGGGUACCGUUGAUUGCCGGCAAAACAUUGAGAUGUCUGGUUUUUAAAUUCUAGUAAAUCCAAAACUUGUCUGAAAUUCAUGAAACUUGGCAUGCUAUCAUGGAGCGGCAUCAACAUGCCGUGGUACAAAUUUUGUCCCAUUUGGGGCAGGUUUGGGUAUAUGCUUCUCACAAACCGGAGCUUCUCACAACAAGCAUGAUGGUUUUCGGUAGGGAACGUCCCACCUUUGGGGACGAAACGAUAUUCAUUGCCUCUUAUUGCUUUCAAUAUGUUUUCUCGUGUCAACAUUGAACAACAGGAGUGUUGUGUGAAUUUUUGUAUUUUUUGGCGUUCAUUUGGACAUUUUCAUGCAUUAACUGAGUUUUCAAUGCAUUUAUGUGCAUCAUUCAAAUUUGAACUACAUACACAUGCUCCAGUGCAUAUAAAUUGGUCAUAAAAUCAAAUUUGUGUCCUUGGGUGCAUGCUUAGGUCCCAUGCAAGAAAUGGGAAUGAAUUUCAAACACCAGGGCACCGUUGAUUGCCGGUAAAACAUUGAGAUGCCUGGUUUUUAAAUUCUAGUAAAUCAAAACUCGUGUGGAAUUCAUGAAACUUGGCAUGCUAUCAUGGAGUGGCAUCAACAUGCCGUGGUACAAAUUUUGUCCCAUUUGGGGCAGGUUUGGGUAUAUGCUUCUCACAAACCGGAGCUUCUCACAACAAGCAUGAUGGUUUUCGGUAGGGAACGUCCCACCUUUGGGGACGAAGCGAUAUCCAUUGCCUCUUAUUGAUUUCAAAUUUUUUUCUCGUGUCAACAUAGAACAACAGGAGUGUUGUGUGAUUUUUUGUGAUUUUUCAGGGUUCGUUUUGAUAUUUUUAUGCAUUAACUGAGUUUUUAAUGCAUUUAUGUGCAUAAUUCAAUUUUGAAAAACAUGCACAUGCUCCAUUGCAUAUAAAUUGGUCGAAAAAUCAAAUCUGUGUCCUUGGGUGCAUGCUUAGGUUUCAUGCAAGAAAUGGGAAUGAAUUUCAAACACUAGGGCACCGUUGAUUGUCGGCAAAACAUUGACAUGCCUGGUUUUUAAAUUCUACUAAAUCCAAAACUCGUCUGAAAUUCAUGAAACUUGGCAUGCUAUCAUGGAGCGGCAUCAACCUGCCGUGGUACAAAUUUUGUCCCAUUUGGGGCAGGUUUGGGUAUAUGCUUCUCACAAACCGGAGCUUCUCACAACAAGCGUGAUGGUUUUCGCUAGGGAACGUCCCACCUUUGGGGACGAAACGAUAUCCAUUGCCUCUUAUUGCUUUCAAUUUUUUUCUCGUGUCAACAUAGAACAACAGGAGUGUUGUGUGAAUUUUUGUGAUUUUUCGGGGUUCGUUUGGACAUUUUUAUGCAUUAACUGAGUUUUUAAUGCAUUUAUGUGCAUAAUUAAAAUUUGAAAUACAUAAACAUAAAUUGGUUGAAAAAUCAAAUCUGUGUCCUUGGAUGCAUGCUUAGGUCCCAUGCAAGAAAUGGGAUUGAAUUUUAAACACCAGGGCACCGUUGAUUGCCCGCAAAACAUUGAGAUGCCUGGUUUGUCAAUUCUAGUAAAUCAAAAUCUCGCCUGAAAUUCAUGAAACUUGGCAUGCUAUCAUGGAGCGGCAUCAACAUGCCGAGGUACAAAUUUUGUCUCGUUUGGGGCAGGUUUGGGUACAUGCUUCUCACAAACCGGAGCUUCUCACAACAAGCAUGAUGGUUUUCGGUAGGGAACGUCCCACCUUUGGGGACGAAAUGAUAUCCAUUGCAUCUUAUUGCUUUCAAAUUUUUUUUCGUGUCAACAAAGAACAACAGGAGUGUUGUGCGAAUUUUUGUGAUUUUUCGGGGUUCGUUUGGACAUUUUUAUGCAUUAAGUGAGUUUUCAAUGCAUUUAUGUGCAUAAUUCAAAUUUGAACUACAUGCACAUGCUCCAGUGCAUGUAAAUUGGUUGAAAAAUCAAAUCUGUGUCCUUGGGUGCAUGCUUAGGUCCCAUGCAAGAAAUGGGAAUGAAUUUAAAACACCAGGGCACCGUUGAUUGCCCGCAAAACAUUGAGAUGCCUCGUUUUAUAUUCUAGUAAAUCAAAACUCGCCCGAAAUUCAUGAAACUUGGCAUGCUAUCAUGGAGCGGCAUCAACAUGCCGUGGUACAAAUUUUGUCCCAUUUGGGGCAGGUUUGGGUAUAUGCUUCUCACAAACCGGAGCUUCUCACAACAAGCAUGCUGGUUUUCGGUAGGGAACGUCCCACAUUUGGGGACGAAAUGAUAUCCAUUGCCUCUUAUUGCUUUCAAUUUUUUUUCUCGUGUCAACAUAGAACAACAGGAGUGUUGUGCGAAUUUUUGUGAUUUUUCGGGGUUUGUUUCGACAUUUUUUAUGCAUUAACUGAGUUUUCAAUUCAUUUUGUGCAUAAUUCAAAUUUGAACUACAUGCACAUGCUCCAGUGCAUAUAAAUUGGUUGAAAAAUCAAAUCUAUGUCCUUGGGUGCAUGCUUAGGUCCCAUGUAAGAAAUGGGAAUGAAUUUCAAACACCGGGGCACCGUUGAUUGCCGGCAAAACAUUGAGAUGCCUGGUUUUUAAAUUCUAUAAAUCAAAAACUCGUCUGAAAUUCAUGAAACUUGGCAUGCUAUCAUGGAACGACAUCAACAUGCCGUGGUACAAGUUUUGUCCCAUUUGGGGCAGGUUUGGGUAUAUGCUUCUCACAAACCGGAGCUUCUCACAACAAGCAUGAUGGUUUUCGGUAGGGAACGUCCCACCUUUGGGGACGAAACGAUAUCCAUUGCCUCUUAUUGAUUUCAAUUUUUUUCUCGUGUCAAUAUAGAACAACAGGAGUGUUGUGUGAAUUUUUCUGAUUUUACGGGGUUCGUUUGGACAUUUUUAUGCAUUAACUGAGUUUUCAAUGCAUUUAUGUGCAUAAUUCAAUUUUGAACUACAUGCACAUGCUCCAUUGCAUAUAAAUUGGUUGAAAAAUCAAAUCUGUGUCCUUGGGUGCAUGCUUAGGUCCCAUGCAAGAAAUGGGAAUGAAUUUCAAACACCGGGGCACCGUUGAUUGCCGGCAAAACAUUGAGAUGCCUGGAUUUUAAAUUCUAGUAAAUCCAAAACUCGUCUGAAAUUCAUGAAACUUGGCAUGCUAUCAUGGAGCGGCAUCAACAUGCCGUGGUACAAAUUUUGUCUCAUUUGGGGCAGGUUUGGGUAUAUGCUUCUCACAAACCGGAGCUUCUCACAACAAGCAUGAUGGUUUUCGGUAGGGAACGUCCCACCUUUGGGGACGAAACGAUAUCCAUUGCCUCUUAUUGCUUUCAAACUUUUUUCUCGUGUCAACAUAGAACAACAGGGGUGUUGUGUGGAUUUUUGUGAUUUUUCGGGGUUCGUUUGGACAUUUUUAUGCAUUAACUGAGUUUUCAAUGCAUUUAUGUGCAUAAUUCAAAUUUGAACUACAUGCACAUGUUCCAGUGCAUAUAAAUUGGGUGAAAAAUCAAAUCUGUGUCCUUGGGUGCAUGCUUAGGUCCCAUGCAAGAAAUGGGAAUGAAUUUCAAACACCAGGGCAUCGUUGAUUGCCGGCAAAACAUUAAGAUGCCUGGUUUUUAAAUUCUAGUAAAUCCAAAAUUCUGUUAACCAUUCACGUGAUGCCACGUGUGUUUGUUUUAAUGGCUGUAGGAGGUGCCGUGCGGACAUCUGCUUGACCUUGACUGAACGGGAGGCGUGCGAGCGCCGUCCGGUGCGCAGGUUGACCGAGAGGCGUGCAAGCUGUCCUCGAGUGCGCAGGCUCACCGGGAAGCGUGCGAGCUGUACGCUGCGCAGGCUCAUUGGGAAGCGAGCCCUUUGACUUCCAUGGCCGCCCGCCUUGCUCGCAUCCUGUCCUUUAAUGGCGCCCAAGCCGUAGUUUAAUUCGCUUUUUAAAUAUAUAACAGUCAUCGCAAACGUUUUAGUUAGAACACCCGUAUGCAAACCGACAGCUUCCCCAGGAAGCCAAGAGAAAAUGUGCCGAGCAGGAUUUCUGCAGCUGUUGAUCGCAAACGUUUUAGAUAGAACACCCGUAUGCAAAGUGAGAGCAACACAGGAUGUGUGCAUCCCUUCAACGCAAACGGUUGUUUUGGAUGACCCGUGUGCAACCACAUACAAACAAUUUGGUAAGAUUUGUCAAUCCUUGUAACACUGCUAUUUGUCAAAAUUCAGUAAUUAAGCAUAGAUUUCAUUCAUAGAUUAAGCAGUCGUUCUUAAUUUAUACAAACAGUUCAACUCGACAGCUGAACCGACCAAACUAUUCCCCAAUUGUUGCCAACCACGUACUGAAAUAGCUAGUUCAACUAUAUAUACUAGCUAAUUUUAAGUACGUUGUACAGUUCCACCACAUCUAUAGUCAGAUGCACUGAACAAAAUAGCCCCUAAAUACUAAUACUACUACUACUACUACUGCGGAGGGGCUUUGUACUACUUGCGGCUGCCUUUCCACUGCCGAGCGCGCUCAGUAAGAGGCGGAGGAGGAGGAGCCUACCGACGAGCGCCCUCUGCCGCUCCAGACGACCCCUCUUGAAGCGGUGGUUCUCCUCGUAGAUCUCCUGAUUCCUCGCCUCCGAGGCGGCGUGUGCCACGGCCACGGCGGCGGUAAGACUCUUUGCGUGCUCGACGAGGCGCUCCUCCUUCUCCCGCAGGAACUUGGUGUAGCGCGCAAGGUCGCUGACGCACGUGCGGGCAUCCACCUCCGCCUCCCGCCUUCGGGCGGUGGUGGCGGAGCGGGUGAUGACCCCAGCGGUCGACGGUGGGCUGGCGGCCACGGCGGCCGACGACGGGGUGGCGGCCACGACCACCACCUCCCGCCUUCGGGCCACGGUGGCAGAGCGGGUGAUGGCCACAGUGGCCGGCAGUGGGGUGGCGGCCACAACGGCCACCUCCCGCCUUCGGGCCACGGCGGCGGAGCGGGCGAUGGCCCUAGCUUUCGACGGUGGUGUGGCGGCAACGGCGGCCGGCAACAGCUGCCUAUGGGCACCGGCGGCGGAGCGUGUGGUGGGUGUUCCGCGCACACCCAACAGGGACGCCACGUGCACUACACUACGUCGGGGAGUGCGCCGCCGCCGCGGUGUAGCCUCCCAGCUGGAGCUGUCCUCUGAUGACGGCGGAGUGGCUGAGCGACGAUGACGGACCGGUGCCAUUGGCGAUUGUGGGAGAAGCAGACGAGAUAAGCUACAGGGAUGGAGGGGAAAAUGCGACGCAAGACUCGCCGGGCGUGAGGCUUUUUAUAGCAGGCCGGUAAGCAUUGGGAUUUUGGGGGAUUUCACUGAGUCGGGUGGGAAGCUUGCGCGGGAACCUGUGAGGUUGCGCGGAAACGGGCUCACCGACGAUUCAUUGGCGCCACCGUUUGGCAAAAAGAACGCCCCCGCGCGCUGCGCAAGCUUGCGCUGUAAGCCGUCUGCGGCAGCGGGGUGACCAGACGUGCGAGAGGAGGACGAAAGGCCACGUACACAUACGGUUAAUUAAAAAAACGUUUGCGAUUUAAUUACCUACUAUACCACCGUCCUGGUUUAUAAGUAUGAUUUAACUAAUCAAAUACGAAUGCAUGUCACCAAAGAUUAUAUAGUUGGAUUUGUAUUUGAACAUAGUUUCCAAUUAUAUAAUUUUUAAUACAUGCUUUAACAUUUUGUUGGUUAAAUUUGAGGGCAAAGUAUGGCACGGAAUAUAAAGGAGACUAUAGACUAGACGGAGGUGGUACCACACGGCCGCUCUCUACGCAGCGACGCAACUGUCGGCCGGCUUGUAGGCGACCAUUUCCUGCGUGUUCAACUGCUCUAUGUGUGUGGUUGCUUGCGGUUCAGGCGGCCGCGACACGCUCUGCUCGCAUCCCGCCGCGCGCGCUCUGCUCUCGCGUCCCUCCGGGUGCUCUGCCCUCUCCCCUCCACGCGCGCUGCCAGUGUUUGGGGCCGGCGCACGAUCACGCCCGUUCAUGUGCAAGCGGUUGCGCCGGGCGCAACGCGACGAUGCAGUUACCCGCUGCAAAAACUGCCAUGCGGAUGCGCCGACAAUCCACACCGCCCGACCCCCUUUUAUUCCUGUGGACAUUUACCUUCAUCUCUCGUCUCACACGACACAAUAAGCACACCCACAAGGACACAUACAGAGAGGACAUCCAGCGGUUCCAAUGGCGCUCCCCGUGGCUCCAAUGGCGCUCCCAGCGGCGGACGACGACUACGGCGGGCAGUUCACCACGCAUCACGUAGUGGACGCCCACGUGAGGGGUAAGGCCCUCUCGGUGGUGUACACGAACGAUCCGGUCUCGGUGGAGAGCUCCAUCAAAACUAUGGAGCAGUUCCUUGCCAAGGACAAGUACCGAGUGGUCGGCUUCGACCUCGAGUACACCAUCGGUCGUGCCGGGCACGAUCAGAAGGUUGCCGUCGCCUAGUUGUGCGUGUGACAUGAUGUCCUCGUCUACCACUUCCACCUUGCCACAAGGCCUUCGAGCGUUUCUCCAGGUUUAUCAAGACCUCCGACUACAGUUUCGCUAUGGUGGACACCACCAACGAUCUAAAAGCGCUCAAGGUUUCGGACUUGAAAUGCCCGAAUCUUGUCAACAUCCAGCACCACUACAAGGUCUGGGGCAGCGACAAAAACAAACUGAACUCCCUGGUGACCUCGUCUCGGCCAUCAUCAACCCCUACUACGCGAAGAUGAAGGAAGAGAGCAAUAAGGACAAGAACGCCUGGCACAGUGUGUGGCAUAAGAGACUGGAUGAACAACACGUCAAGUACGCGGCCAUGGACGCGUACACAAGCUACGAGAUGUACAGGCGGAUCAUUGACAUGAGGAACUGUCUUCUUCCUGACAAAGACGAGUGAUCGAGCCACAUAGCAGUGGCGGGAGCGUCACAAGAAGUAGAUGACUAGACGAUCGUUUCUCCUACUUUAGAAUGCAUGCAAUUUUUUAUUGAGGUGUGUGCGAAUGAUCUGUAUAGUCACUUAUGUAAUUGGAUGUUUAUUUUGGUUAUAUAUAUACAUGUUAUUCUACUAUAGACAGAGCAAUUCACACGGCUUAUUAGCAGCAAUCGUUUGUGUUAUUAUUGGUCUUCACACACAUUUCAGAUUACGGACCUGUUUGCCGCGUAUCACACACAUCUUGUUCAGUUGAACCGUUUCCAUUGUGUUGCCUAAUCACACACAGUUCAUCCCAGUGAACCGUAUGCUGUAUAUCGCACACGCCUUCAUCUGGCUGCCCGUUUCUUUUGUGCCUCCUCAUCCCAAACAAUUAAUUGAGCUAAACCGUAUGCCCUGCAUCGCACACGCAACUAAAUUCUGAACCGUGUUUCAUGCAUCUGUCAUCGCAAACGUUUUGCACCUUUUUUGACGGUUUUUUACACCACCGUUUGCGAUUAUGGCAUCGCACACAGUUUCGUCGAAGGGUCUUUGAUCGUAGUGUCGCGUUUGGACCAUCCUGCAGUAGUGAUGUAUUCACACAUGUACUAAGUUUUCGGUUAAUACAAUUCUAGCAUGAAUAAUAAACAUUUAUCAUGAAAUAAGGAAAUAAAUAAUAACUUUAUUAUUGCCUCUAGGGCAUAUUUCCUUCCAAAAUCUUGUCAAGGUAUGUACUCAUUGAAAAAUCUUAUCAAGCGUCUUGAUCUAUCUCUAUUGAUCUUGAUGCUCAAUGUGUAAGCAGCUUCACCGAGGUCUUUCUUGGAAAAAAAACUCCUUUCAAACACUCCUUUAUGCUUACAGAAAAUUCUACAUCAUUUCCGAUCAACAAUAUGUCACUCACAUAUACUUAUCAGAAAGGCUGUAGUGCUGCCACUCACUUUCUUGUAAAUACAGGUUUCAAUGCUAGUCUGUGUAAAAGUAUAUGCUUUGAUCAACUCAUCAAAGUGUAUAUUCCAACUCCGAGAUGCUUGCACCAGUCCAUAGAUGGAUUGCUAGAUCUUGCACAUUUUGUUAGCACCUUUAGGAUCGACAAAACCUUCUGGUUGCAUCAUAUACAACUCUUCUUUAAGAAAUCCCUUAAGGAAUGCAGUUUUGACAUCCAUUUGCCAGAUUUCAUAAAAUGUGGCAAUUGCUAACAUGAUUCAGACAGACUUAAGCAUCGCUACGAGUGAGAAAAUCUCAUCGUAGUCAACACCUUGAACUUGUCAAAAAACUUUUCGACAUGUCUACCUUUGUAGAUAGUAACACUUCUAUCAGCGUCCGUCUUCCUCUUGAAGAUCCAUUUAUUUUCUAUGACUUGCCCGAUUCAUCGGGCAAGUCAAUCAAAGUCCAUACUUUGUUUUCAUACAUGGUUCCCAUCUCAGAUUUCAUGGCCUCAAGCCAUUUUGCGGAAUCUGGGCUCAUCAUCGCUUCCUCAUAGUUCGUAGGUUCGUCAUGGUCUAGUAACAUGUCUUCCAGAAUAGGAUUACCGUACCACUUUGGUGCGGAACGUGCUAUGGUUAAACUACGAGGUUCGGUAGCAACUUGAUCUGAAGUUUCAUGAUCAUCAUCAUUAACUUCCUCACUAAUUGGUUUAGGCAUCACUUCAACUAAUUUCUACGAUGAACUACUUUCCAAUUUGGGAGAAGCUACAAUUACCUCAUCCAGUUCUACUUUCCUCCCACUCACUUAUUUCGAGAGAAACUCCUUCUCUAGAAAGGAUCCAUUCUUAGCAACGAAUAUCUUGCCUUCGGAUCUGUGAUAGAAGGUGUACCCAACAGUCUCCUUUGGGUAUCCUAUGAAGACACAUUUCUCCAAUUUGGGUUCGAGCUUAUCAGGUUGAAGCCUUUUUACAUAAGCAUCACAGCCGCAAACUUUAAGAAACGAUAACUUGGGUUUCUUGCCAAACCAUAGUUCAUAAGGUGUCAUCUCAAUGGAUUUAGAUGGUGCCCUAAUUAACGUGAAUGCAGUUGUCUCUAAUGCAUAACCCCAAAAACGAUAGCGGUAAAACAAUAAGAGACAUCAUAGAUCGCACCAUAUCUAAUAAAGUACGGUUAUGACAUUCGGACACACCAUUACGCUGUGGUGUUCCAGGUGGCGUGAGGUGCGAAAAUAUUCCACAUUGUUUCAAAUGAAGACCAAACUCAUAACUCAAAUAUUCUCCUCCACGAUCAGAUCGUAGAAACUUUAUUUUCUUGUUACGAUGAUUUUCCACUUCACUCUGAAAUUCUUUGAACUUUUCAAAUGUUUCAGACUUAUGUUUCAUUAAUUAGAUAUACCCAUAUCUUCUUAUAUCAUCUGUGAAGGUCAGAAAAUAACGAUACCUGCCGCGAGCCUCAACACUCAUCGGACCGCAUACAUCGGUAUGUAUUAUUUCCAACAAGUCUGUUGUCGCUCCAUAGUUUCGGAGAACGGAGUCUUAGUCAUCUUGCCCAUGAGGCAUGGUUCACAAGCAUCAAGCGAUUCCAAAAGCCCAUCAGCAUGGAGUUUCUUCAUGCGCUUUACACCAAUAUGACCUAAACGGCAGUGCCACAAAUAAGUUGCACUAUCAUUAUUAACUUUGCAUCUUUUGGCUUCAAUAGUAUGAAUAUGUGUAUCACUAUGAUCGAGAUUCAAUAAACCUUUUAUAUUAAGUGUAUGACCAUAGAAGGUUUUAUUCAUGUAAACAGAACAACAAUUAUUCUUUGAUAAAUGAAUAAUCGUAUUGCAAUGAACAUGAUCCAAUCAUAUUCAUGCUCAACACAAACACCAAAUAACAUUUAUUUUAGGUUCAAUACUAAUCCCGAAGGUAAAGGGAGUGUGCGAUGGUGAUCUUAUCAACCUUGGAAUCACUUCCAACUCACAUGAUCACCUUGCCCUUAACUAGUCUUAGCAACUCCCGUUUCGAGUAACUACUCUUAGCAACUGAACCAGUAUUAAAUACCGAGGGGUUGCUAUAAACACUAGUAAAGUACACAUCAAUAACAUGUAUACCAAAUAUACCUUUGUUCACUAUGCCAUCCUUCUUAUCCGCCAAGUAUCUAGGGCAGUUCCACUUCCAGUGACCAAUUCCUUUGAAGUAGAAGCACUCAGUUUCAAGCUUGGGUCUAGCUUUGGGCUUCUUCAUGUGAGUGGCAACUCGCUUGCCAUUCUUCUUAAAGUUCCCUUUCUAUUCCUUUGCCCUUUUACUUGAAACUAGUGGUCUUGUCAACCAUCAACACUUGAUGAUUUUUCUUGAUUUCUACCUUCACCGAUUUCAGCAUCGUGAAGAGCUCAGGAAUCAUUUUCGUCAUCCCUUGCAUAUUAUAGUUCAUCACGAAGUUCUAGUAGCUUGGUGAUAGUGACUAGAGAACACUAUCAAUCACUAUAUUAUCUGGAAGAUUAACUCCCACUUGAUUCAAGCGAUUGUAGUACCCAGACAAUCUGAGCACAUGCUCACUGGUUGAGCUAUUCUCCUCCAUCUUGUAGGCAAAGUACUGUUAGAGGUCUCAUACCUCUCGACACGGGCAUGAGUCUGAAAUACUAAUUUCAACUCUUGGAACAUCUUAUAUGCUCCAUGACGUUCAAAACAUUUUUGAAGUCCCGGUUUUAAGCCGUAAAGCAUGGUGCACUAAACUAUCAAGUAGUCAUUAUAACGAUCUUGCCAAACGUUCAUAACGUUUGCAUAUACUCCCGCAAUAGGUCUGUCACCUAGUGGUGCAUCAAGGACAUAAUUCUUCUGUGCAGCAAUGAGGAUAAUCCUCAGAUCACGGACCUAGUCCGCAUCAUUGCUACUAUCAUCUUUCAACUUAGUUUUCUCUAGGAACAUAUCAAAAAUAAAACAGGAAGCUAUACGCGAGCUAUUGAUCUACAACAUAGAUAUGCAAAUACUAUCAGGACUAAGUUCAUGAUAAAUUAAAGUUCAAUUAAUCAUAUUACUUAAGAACUCCCACUUAUAUAGACAUCCCUCUAAUCAUCUAAGUGAUCACGUGAUCCAAAUCAACUAAACCAUGUCCGAUCAUCACGUGAGAUGGAGUAGUUUUCAAUGGUGAACAUCACUAUGUUGAUCAUAUCUACUAUAUGAUUCACGCUCGACCUUUCGGUCUCAGUGUUCCGAGGCCAUAUCUGCAUAUGCUAGGCUCGUCAAGUUUAACCCGAGUAUUCUGCGUAUACAAAACUGGCUUGCACCUGUUGUAUGUGAACGUAGAGCUUAUCACACCCGAUCAUCACGUGGUGUCUCGGCACGACGAACUGUAGCAACGGUGCAUACUCAGGAAGAACACUUAUACCUUGAAAUUUAGUGAGGGGUCAUCUUAUAAUGCUACCGCCGAACUAAGCAAAAUAAGAUGCAUAAAAGAUAAACAUCACAUGCAGUCAAAAAAUGUGACAUGAUAUGGCCAUCAUCAUCUUGUGCCUUUGAUCUCCAUCUCCAAAGCACCGUCAUGAUCUCCAUCGUCACCGGCUUGACACCUUGAUCUCCAUCGUAGCAUCGUUGUCAUCUCGCUAACUAUUGCUUCUACGACUAUCGCUACCGCUUAGUGAUAAAGUAAAGCAAUUACAUGGCGAUUGCAUUUCAUACAAUAAAGCGACAACUAUAAGGCUCCAGCCAGUUGCCGAUAACGGUUACAAAACAUGAUCAUCUCAUACAACAAUUUAUAUCUUAUCACGUCUUGACCAUAUCACAUCACAACAUGCCCUGCAAAAACAAGUUAGACGUCCUCUACUUUGUUGUUGCAAGUUUUACAUGGCUGCUACGGGCUUCUAGCAAGAACUGUUCUUACCUACGCAUCAAAAACCACAACGAUUUUUCGUCAAGUGUGCUGUUUUAACCUUCAACAAGGACCGGGCGUAGUCACACUCGAUUCAACUAAAGUUGGAAAAACAGACACCCACUAGCCACCUGUGUGUGAAGCAUGGCGGUAGAACUAGUCUCAUGAAUGCGGUCAUGUAAUGUCUGUCUGGGCCGCUUCAUCCAACAAUACCGCCGAAUCAAAGUAUGGCAUGCUGGUAAGCAGUACGACUAUUAUCGCCCACAACUCUUUGUGUUCUACUCGUGCAUAUAACAUCUACGCAUAGACCUGGCUCGGAUGCCACUGUUGGGGAACGUAGUAUUUCAAAAUUUUCCUAUGAUCACGCAACAUCUAUCUAGGAGAAGCAUAGCAACGAGCGGGAAGAGUGUGUCCAUGUCAGGACCCCGAUCCUAAGUCACACCGAUCUAGCAUGUAAAACACCAUAUCACUUUGUGGCCUCACGCAGGGUAUUCCCACGGGUGCCACCUUACCUGGCCCGAGACCGUUUGCGCCUUUUGGCUCACGUAUAUGAUAGUUUCGCUAGUACCCAUAUGAGAGAGUACCCGGGCCGACAUGACUAGUCGUGAACCCAAAGUGGCGCUAACUUACGGGGACAGGCAUACAUGAACCAGCAUCGAACGUGUCGGUCAUCAGCGUGUGAAUCCGGGCUGUAGCAACUGGGCUAGCGGGACUCCGGUGAACCGGGCUGUAGCAGACUACCAUGGCUUAGUGGAAGCACUAGACUACAUUUCCCCAUAAGAGAGGCUACCAAGGAUAAACAACUAGGUUGUCGGAUCCCACACAUACCAAGCAUUUCAAUCAUACACACAAUAUGCCCGAUAUGUGUAAAUACGACAUGGCAUCACAACAAAACUCUACAACUCAAAGUAUUUAUUCAUUAGGCUCUGAAGAGCCAGAUAUUACAAACAUGGGUCUGAGGACCCAUCAUUCAAGUCAUACAAGCAACAAGCACAAGCAGAAGCUUAACUUGUCUGAGUACAGACAACUACAAAUGAAAAGGCUGAGAAGUCUGACUAUCUACAAGACCCUGCUGAGGGCACAAGAUCGUAGCUGAGGUAACAAGCUAAACGCCGAAGUCCACGCGGAACUACUAGUGAGACUGAAGUCUCUCUGCAAAAACAUAAAUUAAGCAAACGUGAGUACAAAUGUACCCAGCAAGACUUACAUCAGAACUAUCUAUAUAUGCAUCGGUAUCAACAGAAGGGGUGGUGGAGUUUAACUGCAGCAAGCCAGCUUUGACUCGGUGGCUAUCCUAAACUUCGACUGCAAGUAACUCUUUUGAGGUGGCGCACACGAGUCCACAUAUUUACCAAAUCAAUACACCACUAUGGAUUCGCUCCCAUCUCCCUACGAGAAGGCCAUCCAUAGCACUCACGCUUAUCUUGCGCAUUUUAGAGUAUCCACUUCAAGUUAUCUAUGAACUGCACACGCAACCCAGAAGUCCUUUACCGCGGACACGGCUAUUCGAAUAGAUGAUGUUAACCCUGCAGGGGUGUACUUCUUCACACACGCUCUCGCCACUUACCACCAUGUACACGUCGUGUAUCUCGGCAACCUUCAAGCGAAAGCCCGGCAAGGGAGUCGGCCAUGACCUGAUUAACCACACAAGUCCCUCGUCCAAGUUUAUCGCCUAUUCGGGUUCCAUCCGCAAUGAGAUCCGGCCGGGGUGUCGCUCACGGCCCCAAACGAUGUGUACAUGGUUCCAAGCCCACCAAACAGGCGGUGCUUGGCAUACCCGACCAUGGUGCCUAGUCUGUCCCAAGUCCACCUGUACCGGGUGCCACUUGGUAGACUACUAACACUACCUACAAACACCAGAAACUAGUUGCAACUCCUGGACAGAGAUCAGGUUGAUUAAUAAGUCGAGAGAGCUUGGAGUUCCCGGAGCCCAAUGUGUGGUAGUAGCUGUUCAUGGAUCACAAACACAGAACUCAGUUCCUGAGGAUGGUUUCAAUGAGACAACCCACCAUGUACUCCUACAUGGCCUCUCACCGCUACCUUUACCAAAUCGUGUUCACACACUUAGCUCUCAACAGUAAGACAUGUUCACCACAUUCCAAUUCAUCCCCGACGAAUCAGACCUGACUCAACUCUAAGCAGUAGCAGGCAUGACAACAAGCAUCAAUGAGUAGGCACAUCAGGGCUCAAUCAAAUCCUACUCAUGCUAGUGGGUUUCAUCUAUUUACUGUGGCAAUGGCAGGUCAUGCAGAGAAAAGGGGUUCAACUACCGCAGCAUGUAACAGUUGAGUCGCUGUUGUCCUAAUGCAGUAAAAGAGAGCAGGAGUGAGAGAGUGGGAUUGUAUCAGAAUGAACAAGGGGUUUUGCUUGCCUAGCACUUCUGAGGAUAGUAUAGCUCUUCAUCGGUGUCAUCGAUCUCAUCGUCGGAACCACGUUUACCGAGAGGGAACAAACACCGGCAACAAAGCAAGAACACAAUCAAUGCAAUGCGACAAUAUGAUGCAUGAUCAUGACAUGGCAAUAUGCUGUGAUUUGAGCUAAUGCAACUAACAACAAUUUAUAUGAAGUUGGUUUGAAUGCAAGAUUCAAAUUCAAACUCCAUAUGUGAUUAUUCAGAUGCCAUUUAUAUGAUUGGUCCUAAACAGCAGCUAUAAGUUUUUCUAACAUACAUGAAAAUGGUACAGAUGCAUAGAUUGUAUUUUUCUGAUCAUUUUUCAUAUAUAAAUCUUUUCAUUUGGAGUUAUAGAUUAAUUUCUAUGUUUUUUUGAAGUUUACACUAUUUUCUGGAAUUUUCUGAAUUAUUUUAAAUCCAGAAAAUGUUUAACUGCGUCAGGGUUGUGCAAGUAUGACGUCAGCGAGUCAGCUGAGGCUGACCAGGUCAAACCUGACGACCGGGUCCCAUAUGUCAUUGGCUCACUUUUAACUGGGAGUUAAUCCCGUGUUGACUGGGAUUUGACCCGCUGUGGGGCCCGCUUGUCAGUGUCUGUUAGGGAGGCAUUAGUGGUGAUUAGCGCCUAACUAAGCGACCACGUCAGCCCGCCGGAGUUUGGUCGGUGGCGACCUCAAACUGCGGCGGAAGCUCGCCGGGAAACAGCUACGGGGCUCGGUUUUGCGCGUGGUUUGCGUCUACGGGUAUCUGAAGGUGCACCGCAUCCAACUGGGCGAGCGACAACGCCUGGGGUGGCCUGUACUCGCCGGCGACGAGCUCGCGGAGGCGGCCGGAGUUCGACAAGCUCGGGUUCGGCGUUAUAGUGCGCGGGAGGGUUAGAGGAUGGGUGCGCUCGGCUCCUGGGAGCAUGCUGAGUGCGUUGAUAGGCUCGGACGCGAGUGGCGGUGGCUAGAACAAUGGCGGUGUCAUGCGCGGCGGAGCCGAGCUCUCGGCCAUGGCGGAGAUGCAUCCUGGAGCUCGCGAACGCGAGGGGGAAGAGAGUGUUUUGGCACGGAGGCUCACAGCGGGUCUGGCAGCAACAACGGCGAGAUGCUCAGCGGGCUCGGGGAGGCGCUCGGGGCGGCGAAUCGACAACAAAGAUCUUCGGUGGCCGACGAGGGAAACGGUGGAGUUGGCGGCGUCCAGGGGCUUCCGGCGCCGUGCGGCUUGGUGAGGAGGAAGAGGGGGACGAUGCGGAGCUCAUAGGUAGCUUAGGGUGUCGUCAGAACGACGGUGGCUGCGGUGGUGGCGAGCGGCGUCGACGGCAGCGCUCGGGUGAGCUCAGGGGAGAGAGCCAGGGGAGGGGAAAGCGAGCAUGGAGGGGAGAGAGAGGCAGGGAGGUGCGUGGCCUCGUGGGAGGCAUCUAGGGAGGCAGGGAGAGAGGAGGUGGCCGUAGCGUGUGUGCGCGUGCGGGGAACACACGCCCUCGUGCCUACUGGCAGGAGGUUGAAGACGGCGUGGCGGCUGGUGGGCUGGGCCGCCAGCUGGGCUGCCAGGCAGGUAAGUGUCAGGUCAGUUUCCUUCCCUUUCUUUUCUAUUUUUCUAUUUUGUUAUUUUGUUACUGGAUUUAGUAAAAUACUAAAUCACUUCAUAAAAUCCUGAAAUAAAUUUAUAGCAACUAUUUGAAUUAUUUCCAAUAGCCCCCAAGUACUUCCAGGAUUAUUUGGACAUUUAAAAAUAUUUAUAAGAUUUAAAUGUCCAAAUUCAAAUACUUAUGAAUUAGCUCAAAAAUCCAAAAAUGACCUAGAAAUAUGUCCAUCAUUGUUGGCAGAGGUUUUCACCUUUCUCAGAAAUCAUGAACAUUUUUGAAGGCAUUUUUGGGUUCAUUGAAAAUGAUUUUAUUUUGAACCUAGUUGAAUUCGUUUGGUGCUAGGGUUCUGAACAUCCCCAUUUCAAGUUUAAAUGAAAUUUAGACAUGAUGCAACAACCAAGCUAGUCCAAAUGGAUGAUGUGGAUUACCUUGUUGAGGACAACGUAAUGGAUGAUUUUUGCCUAUCAUCGGAAAUGGAUGGGACCCAUGGUAGUCCACAUUUGAAGAUGAUCCUAGACAGCAACUGCUGAGAAGGGCAGCCCAUGGGAAAUUGGCACAAUGGUGGUGCAAGCUGGGAAAAAAAUGCAAAUGUUGGGAAUUCCAACCAUCAUAUCUGCCUGAGAUUCAGAUCUGGUUAGAAAUAGGAUACUUCAGACUCAACAUGUCUGAAAGAAGAGUUGCAACACAAAUCGACGAGAUAACGUUGCGAGAUUCUCGGGAAACUGACUAUGGUAGUAAGCUCCAAAACAUGAGUUGGUUCUGCUACACACCUGUGAACACGUUGUCCUAGACAAGCAUGACCACAUAAUAGUCUUACAACAAAACACUGCCGAGUUCUGGUUGGGAACCAUCAUCGAGGAUAACGGAAUCUUGUGCAUGAACUAGUAUUAGCACAACAAACUCCUUUUCCUUGAGCAAAUCAAUCAGUGGCUUGGUGUGCUAGGGAAUACAUAUGGAGUGGAGGUAAUUAAUCUACCAAACCAUAGAAUACAUUCGCACAUGCAUAACUGACUUGGCAUGGUACCAGAGGAAGCAAAACAAUCUUUCUCGAACUCACGGCGGCAACUUGCACCAAAUGCACAUGAAUUCGAGGAAGUCACUUCUUCCAUCCAAGCAUAAGCUUCAUGAACGGAACACGAAGGCAUUGCUUACAAAGUUUCCAACACUAGGUUGAUGUCCAACAUGAAUCAUGGAGGAGACAAAAUGCUACUGAUGGGCUCAACAGCAACUCAUUGAAAUUUCCAUAUCACUGGACUUCCACCAUUAUGUGAACAAUGUGGUAGUAUUGGUCAAACCAAAAGAUGUAAUGGUGUAUGCUCGAGGGAUCAACCACGAGUAAAACAACAUUACGAAUAUUGCUGGUUCUGAUUUGAUUUGAGGAUAGCCCAUACUCAGUCAAAGUUUGGAUAAGAUGAUAGGUCCAUUAGCUGAACACGAAGAUCAAUCGAUGAAGAUAUCAUCUUUCUUCAACACACACAAAAACAAGGAUAUCCUUUUGAAAAUGAACUAAAUCAUGCAGCUUUUAUCCUCCAAUUCUCCAAGUUGUUGUUCAGCUUAACCAAUUAACUCAGGGUACCCAACACAGAUUCUUGGAGAAGGGGUGGUUACAAGGAACCAACUUGAUCACGAGCUCAACAUAGCGGUCAGGGAAUAGCCUGGUGAUACUUCCGAAAAGAUAUUCAGAAAAUCACGAACUACCGAUAUGUUACUAUGCUCGAGAACAAUCUUGCUUUUCAGGCAAGACGAUGUGGUCAAGAGAGUGAUGAAUUGACACAAUCCUAACCCAUUGAUCGAAGAGUGCACCAAAAAUAAGGACUAGGUAGCACAAUCAGUCCUAGUAUGGUGAUUCGAUAACCAACACACUAAGAAUGAAAUUAUUGUCCUUUCACUACCAAGCAACGGGGUUGCUAAGAGUACUGAUUUCACACAUCAUAGUUCACUUGUCGGCAGUCCGGUUGCAACAACACAGAGACCGAGGAAUGAAGAACGAUGGCGAGAAGUAUCACUUCGUCAAGAAUUCAUAAGACACGGUGCAAUUCCCAUGAUAUUCUUGACAUAAAGGGGGUAAUACUCCAGGGUAGGACAGAACAAAAGCUGGAUUGGCAUUUUGAUCUGCGGGAUACAACUGCUUUGAUCCAAUCCUAGAUAUGGAUGAGGUACUAGAGUUUGUUUCUCCUAGUUAUUCCAGAAUAGAAUGGCUUGACAGACCACAAGAAUAUGAGGUAUCGAUGAGAUCAUGAUACAACUAAAGAGAGGGACAACUCAAAGGAACAUAUAACUUUCUGAGUUGUGGAUGCAUAGAUUAGUAUGUCGAACCAAGUUCAACAGGUUUCUUCCAGAUAAUCCAUGCAGAGAGGUAGGACUGGCAGACUCACAAACAUGAUGGAGAACUCACCACGAGCACUCUGAUUGUGAACUUUGAUUCAAAAGAACUUAUGCCAUAAUGGUUCAUGGUAUUGGAAGAACGAUAUACCACGGACCUCGAAGACUAUCACAAAGGAUACUAAUAUACCAAAAGAACUAGCAAACACUAUCUACACGAGGUAAGUAGAGUGAAUCUUGGCUCAAAAACCCAGAAAUAGAAUGCCUACUAACUAAAUGGCAUCACGCGAUGCUUUCGAGAAUAAUGGCCAGAAUCAUCACAAUAGGGAUACAAAGCAUGGCUAGAUUACUAGGUAAUCCUCUAAGACACCUAGGAUCAUAAUAAUAGCUCCAACAUAUAUGUCGAGGCAACAGAGUACCUCAACUCACCGAUUAGUGUGGUUAAACUGGCCCAAAGAAACAUCGGGAACGGAAAGAAGGGAUUUGCAAAUGCAUCAGACUAGUUAGAAACCUGGGAUGACUCGGGCAGCAUAACGGCUAAAAAAUGCUCAAAAAGAUUUGAGACAUCCGGAAAAAAUGGUGGCAUAACCUCUAGAACAUCAUAAUAUCAAGGUUCUGAGAUCAACUAAGAACACAUGGAAGUAGUAGGAACUGAACUAGGGCUUGAAACCAUCAAUCCCAUCAGUCUACGGAUUAGUAACACGUGAUCCUGAUAAAAAGAAGAGAAAGCCUAGUUCCUUAACCCCGUAGGAAAGAUAGUAUGACUCGGAUCAGAAGGGCAUAAGGAAAAGGAGUAAAAAGAGCCUUACGUUCCCUUCCACAAUCAAUUCCCUUAUAUAACUAAAGCAUUUCUAGACUCAACUUCGACCAGUUUGGCUUGGUAAUCCUAUAGGCAGUCAGGCUCUGAUACCAAAGCUGUCAGGACCCCGAUCCUAAGUCACACCGAUCUAGCAUGUAACACAUCAUAUCACUUUGCGGCCUCACGCACGGUAUUCCCACGGGUGCCACCUUACCUGGCCCGAGACCGUUUGCGCCUUUUGGCUCACGUAUAUGAUAGUGUCGCUAGUAUCCAUAUGACAGAGAACCCGGGCCGACAUGACUAGUCGUGAACCCAAAGUGGCGCUAACUUACGGGGACAGGCAUACAUGAAACAGCAUCGAACGUGUCGGUCAUCAGCGUGUGAAUCCAAGCUGUAGCAACUGGGCUAACAGGACUUCGGGAACCCGGGCUGUAGCAGGCUAGCAGGACUCCGAAAGUCACCGCGUGACAUUUCCCCAAAGGGACAGACACAGGAACGAACUGGAUCACAUGCCGGCCAGUCUAAGUGUUCCGGAGCAGUAGUAACUGGGCUAGCAGGACUCCGGUGAACCGGGCUGUAGUAGACUACCAUGGCUCAGUGGAAGCACUAGACUACAUUUCCCCAUAAGAGAGGCUACCAAGGAUAAACAACUAGGUUGUCGGAUCCCACACAUACCAAGCAUUUCAAUCAUACACACAAUAUGCCCGAUAUGUGUAAAUACAACAUGGCAUCACAACAAAACUCUACAACUCAAAGUAUUUAUUCAUUAGGCUCUGAAGAGCCAGAUAUUACAAACAUGGGUCUGAGGACCCAGUAUUCAAGUCAUACAAGAACAAGCACAAGCGGAAGCUUAACUUGUGUGAGUACAGACAACUACAAAUGAAAAGGCUGAGAAGUCUGACUAUCUACAAGACCCUACCGAGGGCACAAGAUCGUAGCUGAGGUAACAAGCUAAACGCCGAAGUCCACGCGGAACUACUAGUGAGACUGAAGUCUCUCUGCAAAAACAUAAAUUAAGCAAACGUGAGUACAAAUGUACCUAGCAAGACUUACAUCAGAACUAUCUACAUAUGCAUCGGUAUCAACAGAAGGGGUGGUGGAGUUUAACUGCAGCAAGCCAGCUUUGACUCGGUGGCUAUCCUAAACUAUGACUGCAAGUAACUCUUUUGAGGUGGCGCACACGAGUCCACAUAUUCACCAAAUCAAUACACCACUAUGGAUCUGCUCCCGUCUCCCUACGAGAAGGCCAUCCAUAGCACUCACGCUUAUCUUGCGCAUUUUAGAGUAUCCACUUCAAGUUAUCUAUAAACUGCACAGGCAACCCAGAAGUCCUUUACCGUGGACACGGCUAUUUGAAUAGAUGAUGUUAACCCUGCAGGGGUGUACUUCGUCACACACGCUCUCGCCACUUACCACCAUGUACACGUCGUGUAUCUCGGCAACCUUCAAGCGGAAGCCUGGCGAGGGAGUCGGCCACGACCUGACUAACCACACAAGUCUCUCGUCCAGGUUUAUCGCCUAUUCGGGUUCCAUCCGCAAGGAGAUCCGGCCGGGGUGUCGCUCACGGCCCCAAACGAUGUGUACAGGGUUCCAAGCCCACCAAACGGGCGACGCUUGGCAUACCCGGCCACGGUGCCUAGUCUGUCCCAAGCCCACCUGUACCGGGUGCCACUUGGUAGACUACUAACACUACCUACAAACACCAGAAACUAGUUGCAACUCCUGGACAGAGAUCAGGUUGAUUAAUAAGUCGAGAGAGCUUGGAGUGCCCGGAGCCCGAUGUGUGGUAGUAGCUGUUCAUGGAUCACAAACAUAGAACUCAGUUCCUGAGGACGGUUUCAAUGAGACAACCCACCAUGUACUCCUACAUGGCCUCUUACCGCUACCUUUACCAAAUCGUGUUCACACACUUAGCUCUCAACAGUAAGACAUGUUCACCACAUUCCAAUUCAUCCCUGACGAAUCAGACCUGACUCAACUCUAAGCAGUAGCAGGCAUGACAACAAGCAUGAAUGAGUAGGCACAUCAUGCUAGUGGGUUUCAUCUAUUUACUGUGGCAAUGACAGGUCAUGCAGAGGAAAGCGGUUCAACUACCGCAGCAUGUAACAGUUGAGUCGCUGUUGUCCUAAUCCAGUAAAAGAGAGUAGGAGCGAGAGAGUGGGAUUGUAUCGGAAUGAACAAGGGGGUUUUGCUUGCCUGGCACUUCUGAAGAUAGUAUAGCUCUUCAUCGGUGUCAUCGAUCUCAUCGUCGGAACCACGCCUACUGAGAGGGAACAAACACCAGCAAGAGUGAAAGAACACAAUCAAUGCAAUGCGACAAUAUGAUGCAUGAUCAUGACAUGGCAAUAUGCUGUGAUUUGAGCUAAUGCAACUAACAACAAUUUAAAUGAAGUUGGUUUGAAUGCAAGAUUCAAAUUCAAACUCCAUAUGUGAUUAUUCAAAUGCCAUUUAUAUGAUUGGUCCUAAACAGCAGCUAUAAGUUUUUCUAACAUGCAUGAAAAUGGUACAGAUGGAUAGAUUGGAUUUUUUGGAUCAUUUUUCAUAUAUAAAUCUUUUCAUUUGGAGUUACAGAUUAAUUUCUGUUUUUUUAAGUUUACACUAUUUUCAGGCAUUUUCUGAAUUACUUUAAAUCCAGAAAAUGUUUAACUGCGUCAGCGUUGUGCAAGCAUGACGUCAGCGAGUCAGCUAAGGCUGACCAGGUCAAACCUGACGACCGGGUCCCACAUGUCAUUGGCUCACUGUUAACUGGGAGUUAAUCCCGUGUUGACUGGGAUUUGACCCGCUGCGGGACCCGCUUGUCAGUGUCUGUUAGGGAGGGAUUAGUGGUGAUUAGCGCCUAACUAAGCGACCACGUCAGCCCGCCGGAGUUUGGUCAGCGACGACCUCAAACUGCGGCGGAAGCUCACCGGAAAACAUCUACGGGGCUCAGUUUUGUGCGUGGUUUGCGUCUACAGAUAGCUGAAGGUGCGCCGCAUCCAACUGGGCGAGCGACAGCGGCUGGGGUGGCCUGUACUCGCCGGAGACGAGCUCGCGACGGCGGCCAGAGUUCGACAAGCUCGGGUUCGGUGUUAUAGUGCGCGGAAGGGUUAGCGGAUGGGUGCGCUCGGCUCCUAGGAGCAUGCUGAGUGCAUUGAUAGGCUCGGACGCGAGUGGCGGUGGCUAGAACAACGGCGGUGUCAUGCGCGGCGGAGCCGAGCUCUCGGCCAUGGCGGAGAUGCAUCCUGGAGCUCGCGAACGCGAGGGGGAAGAGAGGGUUUCGGCACGGAGGCUCACAGCGGGUCUGGCAGCAACAACGGCGAGAUGCUCAGCGGGCUCGGGUAGGCGCUCGGGGCGGCGAAUCGACGACAAAGAUCUUCGAUGGCCGACGAGGGAAACGGCGGAGCUGGCGGCGUCCAGGGGCUUCCGGGACCGUGCGGCUUGGUGAGGAGGAAGAGGGUGACGAUGCGGAGCUCGUAGGUAGCUUAGGGUGUCGUCGGAAUGACGGUGGCUGCGGUGGUGGCGAGCGGCGUCGACGGCAGCUCUCGGGUGAGCUCAGGGGAGAGAGCCAGGGGAGGGGAAAGUGAGCACGGAGGGGGAGAGAGGCAGGGGUGCGUGGCCUCGUGGGAGGCGUCCAGGCAGGCAGGGAGAGAGGAGGUGGCCGCAGCGUGUGUGCGCGCGCGGGGAACACACGCCCUCCUGCCUACUGGCAGGAGGUUGAAGACGGUGCAGCGGCUGGUGUGCUGGGCCGCCAGCUGGGCUGCCAGGUAGGUAAGUGCCAGGUUAGUUUCCUUCCCUUUCUUUUCUUAUUUUCUAUUUUGUUAUUUCGUUACUGGAUUUAGUAAAAUACUAAAUCACUUCAUAAAAUCCUGAAAUAAAUUUAUAGGAACUAUUUGAAUUAUUUGCAACAGCCCCCAAGUACUUCCAGGAUUAUUUGUACAUUUAAAAAUAUUUAUAAGAUUUAAAUGUCCAAAUUCAAAUACUUUUGAAUUGGCUCAAAAAUCCAAGAAUGACCUAGAAAUAUGUCCAUCAUUGUUGGCAGAGGUUUUCACCUUUCUCAGAAAUCAUGAACAUUUUUGAAGGCAUUUUUGGGUUCAUUGAAAAUGAUUUAUUUUGAACCUAGUUGAAUUCAUUUGGUGCUAGGGUUCUGAACAUCCCCAUUUCAAGUUUAAAUGAAAUUUAGACAUGAUGCAGCAACUAAGCUAGUCCAAGUGCUUAGCAAGGCUAGGGAUGUGACAACUCACCCCCACUAAACAAGAAUCUCGUCCCGAGAUUCAAGACGUGAGGUAAGAGGAAAGGGGGUCACAAAACUAUCACAGUUUUCAGGAUCCAUUUGCCCUUCUCGAAGAUGUUGAUUCAUUGCUUCAAAUUUAUCUUGACGUCUUUGCUUUUGAGAUCUUUACCCAACACGAUGACGACAGAAGGAAACUCUACAGAAAACGAUCUCCUCGAAGAUCGAACACUCAAGAUCAACUCACAGAGUGAGAUGUAAGAACACCUCUUGAGUUGAUACACAAAACACACACCAGGAGCAACGUAAGAAGUAGAUGAUGGAGGUUCAUUAGUAAGCAACAAUUCCACGUCUAAGUAAGAUGGUGCAUGGUUUCAAAAUAGCAAGGAGAUGAUUGCCAUGAUUCCGUAACGUGACACCUUAGGGAAGGUGACUUGCAGAAUUAUUCCCUUAAGUGGCAAAAAGAAUUACUUUUGAUACAAAGAUCAUUGAAACUCUUUAUACCAGCCUAAGGCAAUCACAAUCGAUCAUUUGAAGGAGUUUGAAAGAAUGACAUACUCGGACUAGAAUGGAUGAUGUGGACUACCUUGUUGAGGACAACAUAAUGGAUGAUUUUUGCCUAUCAUCGGAAAUGGAUGGGACCCAUGGUAGUCCACAUUUGAAGAUGAUCCUGGACAGCAACUGCUGAGAAGGGCAGCCCAUGGGAAAUUGGCACAAUGGCAGUGCAAGCUGGGAACAAAAUGCAAAUGUUGGGAAUUCCAACCAUCAUAUCUGCCUGAGAUUCAGAUCUGGUUAGAAAUAGGAUACUUCAGACUCAAUAUGUCUGAAAGAAGAGUUGCAACACAAAUCGACGAGAUAAUGUUGCGAGAUUCUCACGAAACUGACUAUGGUAGUAAGCUCCAAAACAUGAGCUGGUUCUGCUACACACCUGUGAACACGCUGUCCUAGACAAGCAUGACCACAUAAUAGUCUUACAACAAAACACUGCCGAGUUCUGGUUGGGAACCAUCAUCGAGGAUAACAGAAUAUUUUGCAUGAACUAGUAUUAGCACAACAAACUCCUUUUCCUUGAGCAAAUCAAUAGUGGCUUGGUGUGCUAGGGAAUACAUAUGGAGUGGAGGUAAUUAAUCUACCAAACCAUAGAAUACAUUCGCACAUGCAUAACUGACUUGGGAUGGUACCAGAGGAAACAAAAACAAUCUUUCUCGAACUCACAGCGGCAACUUGCACCAAAUGCACAUGAAUUCGAGGAAGUCACUUCUUCCAUCCAAGCAUAAGCUUCAUGAACGGAACACGAAGGCAUUGCUUACAAAGUUUCCAACACUAGGUUGAUGUCCAACAUGAAUCAUGGAGGAGACAAAAUGCUACAGAUGGGCUCAACAACAACUCAUUGAAAUUUCCAUAUCACUGGACUUCCACCAUUAUGUGAACAAUGUGGUAGUAUUGGUCAAACCAAAAGAUGUAAUGGUGUAUGCUCGAGGGAUCAACCACGAGUAAAAUAACAUUACGAAUAUCGUUGGUUUUGAUUUGAUUUGAGGAUAGCCCAUACUCAGUCAAAGUUUGGAUAAGACGAUAGGUCCAUUAGCUGAACACGAAGAUCAAUCGAUGAAGAUAUCAUCUUUCUUCAAGACACACAAACACAAGCAUAUCCCUUUGAAAAUGAACUAAAUCAUGCAGCUUUUAUCCACCAACUCUCCAAGUUGUUGUUCAGCUUAACCAACUAGCUCAGGGGUACCCAACACAGAUUCUUGGAGAUGGGGUGGUUACAAGGAACCAACUUGAUCACGAGCUCAACAUAGCGGUCAGGGAAUAGCCUGGUGAUACUUCCGAGAAGAUAUUCAGAAAAUCACGAACCACCGAUAUGUUACUAAGCUCGAGAACAAUCUGGCUUUUCAGGCAAGACGAUGUGGUCAAGAGAGUGAUGGAUUGACACAAUCCUAACCCAUUGAUCGAAGAGUGCACCAAAAAUAAGGACUAGGUAGCACAAUCAUUCCUAGUAUGGUGAUUCAAUAACCAACACACUAAGAAUGAAAUUAUUGUCCUUUAACUACCAAGCAACGGGGUUGCUAAGAGUACUGAUUUCACACAUCAUAGUUCACUUGUCGGCAGUCUGGUUGCAACAACACAGAGACCGAGGAAUGAAGAACGAUGGCGAGAAGUAUCACUUCGUCAAGAUCUCAUAAGACAUGGUGCAAUUCCCAUGAUAUUCUUGACAUAAAGGGGGUAAUACUCCAGGGUAGGACAGAACAAAAGCUGGAUUGACAUUUUGAUCUGCGGGAUACAACUGCUUUGACCCAAUCCUAGAUAUGGAUGAGGUACUGGAGUUUGUUUCUCCUAGUCAUUCCAGAAUAGAAUGGCUUGACAGACCACAAGAAUAUGAGGUAUCGAUGAGAUCAUGAUACAACUAAAGAGAGGGACAACUCAAAGGAACAUAUAACUUUCUGAGUUGUGGAUGCAUAGAUUAGUAUAUCGAACCAAGUUCAACAGGUUUCUUCCAGAUAAUCCAUGCAGAGAGGUAGGACUGGCAGAGUCACAACCAUGAUGGAGAACUCACCACGAGCACUCUGAUUGUGAACUUUGAUUCAAAAGAACUUCUUCCAUAAUGGUUCAUGGUAUUGGAAGAACGAUAUACCACGGACCUCGAAGACUAUCACAAAGGUUACUAAUAUCCCAAAAGAACUAGCAAACACUAUCAACACGAGGUAAGUAGAGUGAAUCUUGGCUCAAAAACCUAGAAAUAGAAUGCCUACUAACUAAAUGGCAUCACGGGAUGCUUUCGAGAAUAAUGGCCAGAAUCAUCACACUAGGGAUACAAAGCAUGGCUAGAUUACUAGGUGAUCCUCUAAGACACCUAGGGUCAUAAUAAUAGCUCCAACAUAUAUGUCGAGGCAACAGAGUACCUCAACUCACCGAUUAGUGUGGUUAAACUGGCCCAAAGAAACAUCGGGAAUGGAAAGAAGGGAUUUGCAAAUGCAUCAGACUAGUUAGAAACCUGGGAUGACUCGGGCAGCAUAACGGCUAAAAAAUGCUCAAAAAGAUUUGAGACAUCCUGAAAAAAUGGUGGUAUAACCACUAGAACAUCAUAAUAUCAAGGUUCUGAGAUCAACUAAGAACACAUGGAAGUAGUAGGAACUGAAGUAGGGCUUGAAACCAUCAAUCCUAUAAGUCUACGGAUUAGUAACACGUGAUCCUGAUAGAAAGAAGAGAAAGCCUAGUUCCUUAACCCCGUAGGAAAGAUAGUAUGACUCCGAUCAGAAGGGCAUAAGGUAAAGGAGUAAAAAGAGCCUUACGUUCCCUUCCAAAAUCUAUUCCCUUAUAUAACUAAAGCAUUUCUAGACUCCACUUCGACCAGUUUGGCUUGGUAAUCCUACAGGCAGUCAGGCUCUGAUACCAAAGCUGUGAGGACCCCGAUCUUAAGUCACACAGAUCUAGCAUGUAACACAUCAUAUCACUUUGCAGCCUCACGCACGGUAUUCCCACGGGUGCCACCUUACCUGGCCCGAGACCGUUUGUGCCUUUUGGCUCACAUAUAUGAUAGUGUUGCUAGUAUCCAUAUGAUAGUGAACCCAGGCCGACAUGACUAGUCGUGAACCCAAAGUGACACUAACUUACGGGGACAGGCAUACAUGAACCAGCAUUGAAUGUGUCGGUCAUCGUGUGAAUCCGGGCUGUAGCAACUGGGCUAACAGGACUCCAGGAACCCGGGCUGUAGCAGGUUAGCAGGACUCCGAAAGUCACCGCGUGACAUUUCCCCAAAGGGACAGACACAGGAACGAAGUGGACCACAUGCCGGCCAGUCUAAGUGUCCCGGAGCAGUAGUAACUAGGCUAGCAGGACUCCGGUGAACCGGGCUGUAGCAGACUACCAUGGCUUAGUGGAAGCACUAGACUACAUUUCCCCAUAAGAGAGGCUACCAAGGAUAAACAACUAGGUUGUCAGAUCCCACACAUACCAAGCAUUUCAAUCAUACACACAAUAUGCCCGAUAUGUGUAAAUACAACAUGGCAUCACAACAAAACUCUACAACUCAAAGUAUUUAUUCAUUAGGCUCCGAAGAGCCAGAUAUUACAAACAUGGGUCUGAGGACCCAACAUUCAAGUCAUACAAGCAACAAGCACAAGCGGAAGCUUAACUUGUCUGAGUACAGACAACUACAAAUGAAAAGGCUGAGAAGUCUGACUAUCUACAAGACCCUGCCGAGGGCACAAGAUCGUAACUGAGGUAACAAGCUAAACGGCGAAGUCCACGCGGAACUACUAGUGAGACUGAAGUCUCUCUGCAAAAACAUAAAUUAAGCAAACGUGAGUACAAAUGUACCCAGCAAGACUUACAUCAGAACUAUCUACAUAUGCAUCGGUAUCAACAGAAGGGGUGGUAGAGUUUAACUGCAGCAAGCCAGCUUUGACUCGGUGGCUAUCCUAUACUACGACUGCAAGUAACUCUUUUGAGGUGGCGCACACGAGUCCACAUAUUCACCAAAUCAAUACACCACUAUGGAUCAGCUCCCGUCUCCCUACGAGAAGGCCAUCCAUAGCACUCACGCUUAUCUUGCGCAUUUUAGAGUAUCCACUUCAAGUUAUCUACGAACUGCACAGGCAACCCAGAAGUCCUUUACCGUGGACACGGCUAUUUGAAUAGAUGAUGUUAACCCUGCAAGGGUGUACUUCUUCACACACGCUCUCACCACUUACCACCAUGUACACGUCGUGUAUCUCGGCAACCUUCAAGCGGAAGCCUGGCGAGGGAGUCGGCCACAACCUGACUAACCACACAAGUCUCUCGUCGAGGUUUAUCGCCUAUCGGGUUCCAUCCGCAAGGAGAUCCGGCCGGGGUGUCGCUCACGGCCCCAAACGAUGUGUACAGGGUUCCAAGCCCACCAAACGGGCGGCGCUUGGCAUACCCGGCCAUGGUGCCUAGUUUGUCCCAAGCCCACCUGUAUAGGGUGCCACUUGGUAGACUACUAACACUACCUACAAACACCAGAAACUAGUUGCAACUCCUGGACAGAGAUCAGGUUGAUUAAUAAGUCGAGAGAGCUUGGAGUGCCCGGAGCCCAAUGUGUGGUAGUAGUUGUUCAUGGAUCACAAACACAGAACUCAGUUCCUGAGGACGGUUUCAAUGAGACAACCCACCAUGUACUCCUACGUGGCCUCUCACCGCUACCUUUACCAAAUCGUGUUCACACACUUAGCUCUCAACAGUAAGACAUGUUCACCACAUUCCAAUUCAUCCCCGACGAAUCAGACCUGACUCAACUCUAAGCAGUAGCAGGCAUGACAACAAGCAUGAAUGAGUAGGCACAUCAGGGCUCAAACAAAUCCUACUCAUGCUAGUGGGUUUCAUCUAUUUACUGUGGAUGACAUGUCAUGCAGAGGAAAGAGGUUCAACUAACGCAGCAUGUAACAGUUGAGUCGCUCUUGUCCUAAUGCAGUAAAAGAGAGCAGGAGCGAGAGAGUGGGAUUGUAUCGGAAUGAACAAGGGGGUUUUGCUUGCCUGGCACUUCUGAAGAUAGUAUAGCUCUUCAUCGGUGUCAUCGAUCUCAUCGUCGGAACCACGUGUACUGAGAGGGAACAAACACCGGCAACAGAGAAAGAACACAAUCAAUGCAAUGCGACAAUAUGAUGCAUGAUCAUGACAUGGCAAUAUGCUGUGAUUUGAGCUAAUGCAACUAACAACAAUUUAAAUGAAGUUGGUUUGAAUGCAAGAUCCAAAUUCAAACUCCAUAUGUGAUUAUUCAAAUGCCAUUUAUAUGAUUGGUCCUAAACAGUAGCUACAAUUUUUUCUAACAUGCAUGAAAAUGGUACAAAUGGAUAGAUCGGAUUUUUCUGAUCAUUUUUCAUAUAUAAAUCUUUUCAUUUGGAGUUACAAUUAAUUUCUAUGUUUUUUUCUGGAAUUUUCUGGAAUUUGGAGUUACAGAUAAAUUUUCUGGAAUUUUCUGAAUUAUUUUAAAUCCAGAAAAUGUUUAACUGCGUCAGCGUUGUGCAAGCAUGACGUCAGCGAGUCAGCUGAGGCUGACCAGGUCAAACCUGACAACCUGGUCCCACAUGUCAUUGGCUCACUGUUAACUGGGAGUUAAUCCCGUGUUGACUGGGAUUUGACCCGCUGUGGGGCCCGCUUGUGAGUGUCUGUUAGGGAGGGAUUAGUGGUGAUUAGCGCCUAACUAAGCGACCACGUCAGCCCGCCGGAGUUUGGUCGGCGGCGACCUCAAACUGCGGCGGAAGCUCGCCGGAAAACAGCUACGGGCUCGGUUCUGCGCGUGGUUUGCGUCUACGGGUAGCUCAAGGUGCGCCGCAUCCAACUGGGCGAGCGACAGUGGCUGGGGUGGCCUGUACUCGCCGGAGACGAGCUCGCAGCGGCGGCUGGAGUUCGACAAGCUCGGGUUUGGUGUUAUAGUGCGCGGGAGGGUUAGAGGAUGGGUGCGCUCGGCUCCUGGGAGCAUGCUGAGUGCGUUGAUAGGCUCGGACGCGAGUGGCGGUGGCUAGAACAACGGCGGCAUCAUGCGAGGCGGAGCCGAGCUCUCGGCCACGGCAGAGAUCCAUCCUGGAGCUCGCGAACGCGAGGGGGAAGAGAGGGUUUCGGCACGGAGGCUCACAGCGGGUCUGGCAGCAACAACGGCGAGAUGCUCAGCGGGCUCGGGGAGGCGCUCGGGGCGGCGAAUCGACGAUGACGAUCUUCAGUGGCCGAUGAGCGAAACGACGGAGCGGGCGACAUCCAGGGGCUUCCGGCGCCAUGCGGCUUGGUGAGGAGGAAGAGGGGGACGAUGCGGAGCUCGUAGGUAGCUUAGGGUGUCGUCGGAACGACGGUGGCUGCGGUGGUGGCGAGCGGCGUCGACGGCAGCGCUCGGGUGAGCUCAGGGGAGAGAGCCAUGGGAGGGGAAAGUGAGCACGGAGGGGAGAGAGAGGCAGGGAGGUGCGUGGCCUCGUGGGAGGCGUCCAGGCAGGCAGGGAGAGAGGAGGUGGCCGCAGCGUGUGUGCGCGCGCGGGGAACACACGCCCUCCUGCCUACUGGCAGGAGGUUGAAGACGGCCCGGCGGUUGGUGGGCUGGGCCGCCAGCUGGGCUGCCAGGCAGGUAACUGCUAGGUUAGUUUCCUUCCCUUUCUUUUCUAUUUUUCUAUUUUGUUAUUUUGUUACUGGAUUUAGUAAAAUACUAAAUCACUUCAUAAAAUCCUGAAAUAAAUUUAUAGGAACUAUUUGAAUUAUUUCCAACAGCCCCCAAGUACUUCCAGGAUUAUUUGGACAUUUAAAAACAUUUAUAAGAUUUGAAUGUCCAAAUUCAAAUACUUAUGAAUUAUCUCAAAAAUCCAAAAAUGACCUAGAAAUAUGUCCAUCAUUGUUGGCAGAGGUUUUCGCCUUUCUCAGAAAUCAUGAACAUUUUUGAAGGCAUUUUUGGGUUCAUUGAAAAUGAUUUUAUUUUGAACCUAGUUGAAUUCAUUUGGUGCUAGGGCUCUGAACAUUCCCAUUUCAAGUUUAAAUGAAAUUUAGACAUGAUGCAGCAACCAAGCUAGUCCAAGUGCAUAGCAAGGCUAGGGAUGUGACAGUCCACGUAACCUCGUAGACCGAAAGCGGAACCGUUUUGUCAACGCGGUUGAUGCAGUCGUACGUCUUCACAAUCCGACCGAACCUAGCACCGAACGAACGGCACCUCCGUGUUCAGCACACAUUCAGCUCGAU
rnacentral:lncRNA from 1 species